rnacentral:lncRNA from 1 species
AGAGACACAAUUAAUGAAAAUCUCCUCGAUUAGGAAAGUCCAUGCAUCAAGAGGAUGAGGUCCAUGUAAGAGAGAAGAUGUGCAUUACACUGCUCCAACACAACAACUUGUAAUAUUGGAUUAAUCAAUAUACACCCCCUAAGAAAACUCAUUCAGUAAAUAUUGUGUACAUUCGGAAAUCAGAUGCUUUUCUAUCUAGCCUUUUCACUUGAUUAUCUACAUCUUUUAGUGGAGCAGGAAAGCAUCUUCUCUUCAUUAAAAAUUUUAGUGUUAGUAAUCGUUCAUAAUGCAUGUGCUCUUCACCAAAGAUUAGGAGCCUUGACUAUGGAGCACGCAUGUAGAGAUGAAAAUUAGCCAUUUUCUUCUUGUCCAUGAGUGGACACAACCCAAUGAUGUUGCCUUGACGAGGGGGCGCGGUCCAUUGGAAAGAAAAGAUGCCCGCCUAAGUCAAUAACUUUUACUAUUUAAUUAGUCAACAGACUGACUUGAUCAUUAAACAUUUCGGAUUCGAAAUCGUUCAGAAAUCAUAUGCUCUCCUCCCAAAAAGCACGUGCUCUGCCUUUUCGUUUGCUUAUCUAAUUCUUCUUGUGCAGCAGGUUGGCAUCCUCUCUUCAUUUUUCUAUAUAAGAUUUCUAUGGGGAAAGGGCAAAGUCUGAGCAAAAUAAAAAGAAAUAGAGCGCAAAAAAAAGGAGCACUGAGGGAGGAAAUCGAGAAUGAUUGCUGAGAAAGAGAUCACUAAUGGAGCAUAUGCUUCUUCGUCCUUACCUUCGAUACUCACAGGAGGAGGUAGCGAUCAAUACGAUGUGUUCUUGAACUUUAGAGGCUCUGACACUCGUAACGGAUUCACUGAUCACCUCUACCGCAGUCUAAUCAGUGUAGGGACGGUACCAAUUUCUGUGUUCAGGGACGAUAAUAGCCUUGCAAUUGGCAAGGAUUUUAAUUCAGAGAUUCUCAAUGCCAUCACGCGAUCUAAGAUUUUGAUCCCCAUCAUCUCUGAAAAUUAUGCUUCGAGCAAAUGGUGCCUCCGUGAGCUAUGCAUCAUGGACUGCCAGAAGAGCAUGUCGCACAUAGUGUUGCCCAUUUUUUACAAAGUGCUCCCAUCGGAUGUGCGGCAUCAAAAUGGAAAUUUUGGGGAGGCCUUCCGUUCGUGUAAGAAGCGUUUUGAUAAGGAGGACAUUCAAGAAGGUCAACGAGCCCUUACAGAAGUGAGUAACUUGAAUGAAUGGGAAUCUGAGAAAUUUGCUAAAGGUACUUAUCUUCUGCCUGCACUCUUUUUAUUUUUUCUUUUAUAAUUCCCCUAAGUAUUGUUAUUUAGUGAAACUAAUGUCAUAUGGAUGAAUUGCUUCCACUACAAGCUUACAAAACAUCCCAAAAUGUCCUAGUGAAUAACCAUAAUGGCCCAAGGAUUACAAAUACUUGUACUCGCUAAGAUUUCCCCUGAAAACUACACUAACAACGUUUAAAACCUUAGGAUCCCUUAUUCAGUCUUCCAAAGCUUGGUAACUGCUGGAUAAAUCGACCUCCUCUUGCUUCACACAGAUCAUGUCUAGGUUCAAGACUUGCUGUUGCCAAUAACUUUCAUUGAUAGGCGAUCUGUAAGUUAAUUAUAAGUCCUCCAUUUAGGCCCGUGGGAUACGCUGGCCUUAGAGGGAGAACAUCUUCUUCUCCUAAACUUUUUGUAACCAAAAUUAUUGACCUCCUAUUUUCAACUAGGAGCGACCAUAAUUCUCAUAACAAACAUUUUACUUCUAAAGAAUCUUAAUUUGCUACGUGCACCACUUUAUCUUAUUUCAAUAAGAUCUAUCUAUAAGAAGAAAAAGAAGGGGAAAAAUGAGAUGACCGCUACACCAUCAUCCUAUAUUGUCAUUCGUAAAACCAAAACAUUUUGCAUGUUAAUUGGUUGCAUCCAUCAUUUACAUAUAUGUCAGUGUCUUUUGAUGAGAUUACGCAAGAGUAUGAAGUUAUGAUGAGUUUUUUUGUUUAACAGGCAGGAAGGAAAAUUAGUGGAAGAAGUUACCAAAAUGAUUCUAAGCAAGGUGAGAUGUCAAUCUCAGCUUGAUGUUCCAAAGCACCUAGUUGGGGUUGACGAUCAUGUCAACAAAAUUAGGAAUUGGGUAGACAUUCCUGCCAAUCAUGCUCGAAUGAUAGGAAUAUAUGGCAUGGGUGGGAUCGGUAAAACGACUCUUGCUAAGGUCAUCUAUAACGAGCUAUCAAAUAUCUUUGUGGAUUGUAGUUUCCUUCCAAAUAUACGAGAAACAGCUAACAACAAUGGUAUUCCUUAUCUACAAAAUUUGCUAAUUAAGGAAAUACUACAAAUUGAAAAUGCUGUUUGUAAAGUUGAUGAUGGAAUUAAUUUGAUCAAAUCUAGAUUUAAAGGAAAAAUGGUUCUCAUUCUUUUGGAUGAUAUUGAUCACCAAAAUCAGCUAGAUGCUUUAGCUAGAGAACGUGAUUGGUUUACUGCAGAAAGUAUCAUCAUUGUUACAACUAGAUACAAAUCUGUACUUGAUCAGUCUGAGUUCAAGGUGGGCUACAAGUAUGAAUUGAAUGAAUUAGAUGAGGUGCAUUCUUUGCUUUUAUUUAGAAGACAUGCAUUUCGCAUGGGCCAUUGUUCGGAGGAUUUUGAGGGUGUCUCUCAUGAAAUCUUAUCUACCUUGGGUGGGCUUCCCCUAGCUAUCAAGGUCAUAGGUUCAUACUUAUAUGGAAAAAUAGAUAAAAAGAUAUGGCAAGAUAUAUUGGAGAAACUAAGAAUCGAACCAGAUAGAGAUGUCCAAAAGACAUUGAAGAUAAGUUAUGAUGCUUUGGAACCUACACAAAAGGAGAUUUUUCUGGAUAUUGCUUGCUUUUUUAUCGGCGAAAACAGCAAAUAUGCUGUUUACAUGUGGGAGGACUGUAAACUUUUUCCAUAUCUUGGAAUUGAAGAGUUGAGGCUGAGGUGUUUAGUAAAAAUUGGAGAUUGUGCUGAGUUUAGGAUGCAUGACCAAUUGAGAGAUCUCGGAAGGAGCAUCUUUCGCCAAGGACAACCGCCUGAGAGAUGUCUGAAGCCAUGGCUUAAUAUGCAAAUGGAGGUAACAUAUGGCGCUCUCUCUCUCUCUCUCUCUCUCUCUCUCUCUCUCUCUCUCUCUCUCUCUCUCUCUCUCUCUCUCUCUCUCUCUCUCUCUCUUCUCUCUCUCUCUCUCUCUCUCUCUCUCUCUCUCUCUCUCAUAACUCCAUAAAUUUAAUGUGAUACAUUUUAGCCUUUUAUCUAGUACAACCAGAUGGAAAAAAUAUAUUCACACACCCAUUUAUGUCCCCCUUAGAUAAAUUGUGAUAAUAAUUGGAUUAUAAGUGUCCCAAGGAUGAAAAAGUUACAUUAUUUGAUCCAAGUUCAUUGAUAUAAAUUACAUCCGUCAAAAACUUAAUUUUGCAAUCAAUUUAAGAUUCUUUAACUAGGAUUCUACACUAAAAAUCUUGUUCACUAAAAGCAUGUAAUUUUAUAUCUACUUGAAACUAUUGAUAAUUUGAAAGAUUACAAUAAUUUAAUUAAGAUGAAGCAUAUACAUCAUAAAUCAGAUAAAUGAAGAUGUUGUGAAUUUUCAUUCAAAACGGUAAUGUACAACAUAAGCUGAUUAUAAUAACUAAUAAUUAACCAAAUUAGUUGCCCUAAAGAAAAAUUUCACUCAUCAUAGGUGCUUGCUUUCUAGUACGGUCGAAUGUAUUGGGGUGCUCUUAUGAAUUAGGAAAUCAAUGUUUGAUAAACUUAUUUAUUUAUUUUUUUUCCAUUUUGAUUUUGAAGAUACCCCUUCCCCCCACGAGGUAUAUCUAUCUCUUCUCAUUCUUCUUGUGUCUCAAUAGCUAUGAUGGCAAAAUUCACCUUAAGAAUCUUAUAGGGAAGAUCCUUGCAAUGUUUUUAAGGUCAGAUCACGUUGACCUUGUUCAUCUCAUGGAUUUAGGUGUGUGAUAAAGAGUGGAUUUUCUUAUUUUCCUUUCUUUGACUCUUUCAUUUCUCGUUGUCUGUUCCUUCGCUUUUCUUAAUAAACAUUUCUUUCCUCUCCAACUUGUUUUAUAUUAUUUAUAUUUUUUGGUACAAUGCCCUUUUGUGCCAAAAACCCUCGACAAACUCGACAAUUUAGAGGAAAUGUCAUGCUAGUUAUUAUAUCGAUACCUUUUUCUUUACUAAAUAACAUUUUCAGUAUUUUGUCAAUUUUAAAAGUAAGUUUAAUUUUUACUUAGAUUGUCAAUGUUCAUGUCGUUUCAUUAUUUUAUAUUUUCCAUUUAGAGAAGCGUGGUAGGUUCAUAACUGAUCAAUUGGGGGGGGGGGGAAUUAACCUUUGCAAUUAACCAAGAGAUGUUGGGAAAGGAAAAAGCUUUAUUUUCUCGAUUUAAUUUGAAUUAGUUCGUUCAUGUCAUUAUAAACAGCACAUUCUUUUGUUGAGUCAAUAACUAUUCUUAAGAGAAAUAACAUUGACUGAGUUUUUCACUAGUUAAUACAUAAAGUACGGAUAAUGACACACGAGUCAAACCAUAAAAUUAAGCCCAACCUAAAAAAAGAGAAAAAAGAAUUCUAUCUUUGGUUUGAUAGUGUUUGUGGAAGUUCAUAUUUCACUAAACAAAUUUGUCUUUUGGCUAUUUAGUUUAUUCACAAUAUUUCCAAGAAACUACGAAAAAAUGCACUUUCAAGUUAUGUUGAUCGGUCGAUAAUUUUUUUUUUUUAAUGUUUACUUAUAUCUCCUGCCCUAUUGUAUCUUUGCACUUGGCGUAUAAAUAGUAUUACACCAAAAACAAAAACAAAAAAAAAAAACAAGGUACUGCUUUUCAUUUGGAGCAGAUACCGUUGUCACAAAAGUUCAUGUGAAAGAUGAAAGGUGUCGAGUGUUGUGAAAUAUGGAUCAACUAGUCGUGAGCCCAUACCAUGCAUAUACACAAAAUUGACAUGAAUAAAUUUAUCAUGAAAAUAUAACUAUAAUAUCCUUAUCUCUAUUGGAAAAGCACAUAUAGAUAGCAAAUCAUGUUCUUUGGAAAGACAGUUAUAAUUUAUAAGUGGAUAGUUCUUAAUCUUUCAUUAUAGUAAUUCAACUUUAAAAAAAAAAAAAAAAGUCUCUCAUUAUGGUAAAAAUUCAAGCGGGAAACCGCAUUUGAAAGACAUUCCUUUUUUUUUUUCCCCAAUAACAAUGGACGUACUUCUCUUGGAUGGAGUGCACAAAAAAAAAGUUAAAUGCGCUAAAAAUCGAAUUAUAAGGAAUUUAAAAAGAUAUUAAAUGAAAUUGCAUGAAAUGGAAGUGCGAUCAAAGGAAAAUUACGAGGAAAGUAAAAGAUGAACUUUGUUGUGCCAUGCCUGUCUGAUCUUACCUCUGAAUACCUCUUUUAUACCAAUGCCUCGUGUCGACCAUUCUGUUUCUAGGCCAUUCGCAUGUAACUUCCACAUGCAUCAUAUGUCACAUGCAUCAGUUGUUUCCUGCGUUACUUGCCACAUACAACCUAUGACACCUAGUCCUAUACUACUCUUUUCAAGGAAGAGAUUUCUCUAUUAUUCUCUCAACCUAAAUUUUCUCAAAAUCAAGUUCAUUAUAAAUCAUAUUUAUUUAAAUGAAUCCAUGGGCCAUUUUCAAGAAUUGACUCUCAAAAGGGGAAACCUCCAUCAUUAAUCGCAAUUGCUCGCUGUCUAAACAGAGUUAAUCAUAUAUAUAUAUAAACAUGUGUUUUGCUUUUCUUCUAAGAGGGAAUUGCUCAUCAUUUGAAACAUCAAUUGGUGUCACCUGCUCAAUCCAAUAUAAAUGGUGUGCAUAGCGUGGAUCAUGUCUAGUCUAUAUAUGAUAUAACAUGAUACUAUAAUUAUAGAAAUGAGAUUGGUGUCACUUUAGGUCCCUUCCAAUUUUACUAUUAUUGAAGGAUUAGGAAGGAUUCUACUACAAAUAAAAAGUAUGGCAGAGGAGUGAAGUCUCACUUUGGUAGAAUGCUCCUUCUCUAACCAACACAUCCCCGACCGUUAACGGUUAUAUAAUAUUCUCCUCAUCAACAUGUCGUACCAUCCCCAAUUUUUAUCACCAUUCUCUUCUUAUUUUUAAGAGUUUUGAGUUACAAAGUUCACAUAAAAAUAAGCAUAAUGUUAACAUAACAUGCACAUAGCAUGUGUAUAGAUUACCGUGGACAUUAAGCAAAGUCCAUUUGCAAAAAUAGUACCACUUCUAGGUCGAAUUUUGCUUUUACAUUUUACAAAUGCAUUUUCUUGAAUAGGUCGAGUGAGGGGCACUAUUGGCUUGAAAUUACUUUGCUCUAGAAGUGCAUGUUAACAGAUGGGUACUAAUUUCUAAUUUCUAAUUAACCUCUUGAGAAGUAUGCCCAUGCUAAAAACAAAUGUCAAUAUUUACAUCAACAUACCUCUAGAAAACCUAUUUGAUAAAAGUGGGUACUAACGGCUACAUAAGUUCCAUAAUGGUGAAAUACUCCAUUUACUCAUUGCCAGGUGGGACACCAGCUUAAUUAAGUCCGACUGGACGGUUCAAACAGGAAAUUAUUUACACUUGAUAUUGCUAGUAUGAGUACCUAGAGGGGGGUGAAUAGGUUUAUAAAAAUUUUCUUGAAGAUUGCACAAUACUUAGACAGAUGAAGGAUUAAAAAAUCAAUCGUAAGACUGAGUAAAGGAAAGAGAGAAUUGAACACGCGGUUUAUAGUGGUUCGGCUUGAUGCAAGCCUACAUCCACUCUUCUUCACUGACAGCCGAUUGGCUGGAUUCCACUAUGAACAAAGAGAUGUUACAGUGUUGAUCUUCCUUGAUUUCUCGAUGUAGAUGAUCUACUAUACUCGCUCAAGGUAUCACCAAGUAUAAACACUCUCUAUGUAUACAAUUUCGCUCGAACUGUAUCGACUAACAAUCAAGGUUCUUCAGACUCUGGAAUUUUUCUAUCAAUCACACACUUAAAACAACUAAAACGACUUCCUUUUAUACUUCUUUAUGCCAUCAUAGCCGUUGGCACUUACCAAAGGAAUUCCUCCAAUCUACCCGUUGGACGGAAUCAAUUAAGAAGAUCAUCCGAGCUAUUUAAGGAAUCUGAUGAUAGCCCAUCAAUCCUGAUAGCCCAUCAAUCCUUUUCGCCCAUACAAUCAGGAUUUUGGUUUUCAAGAAUAGAACAUUCCAAGAAUGUUUCGUCGACCAUCGGAUCUUCAAUUGUUCUUAGAUAAGAAUAACAGAAUCCGAAGUGAUUAUCCAACCAAGAGAUCUUUUCCAGAGGAUUGGAUCGAAUCCCCAACCAUAUACUUCGGCUUCGGAUAUCCUUCGCCACUGGAUUAGAAAGACUGUCAGUGAGAAUAAUCUUGAGUCUUGAGUCUUGAGUCUUGAGUCUUGAGACUUGAGAUUACAAAGUCUUGAGACUUUAAACUAUCGAUAUCCAGACUAGAUUGAUAGAAAUGUUUUGUCAGCUUCAAAAUAUUCUGGAAAGAUUUCUCCAACAAUCUCCCCCUUUUUGAUGGUGACAAAACUUUCUUGUAGAUUUGAACAACUUUGACCUGUAAAAACAUUUCUCAAGCAAUAUGGCUAACUCAUAAAGAUUAAUAAACAACCAGACUCUGCAUCCACAGCAAAUUGGUUAGUCUUUCAUGAGUAAUACCAUAUAACAGUACUUGAUAUAAAUGCAACCAGUCAAGCAUCAAAAUCCACAGCCAAUUCAGUCUCACACCNNNNNNNNNNNNNNNNNNNNNNNNNNNNNNNNNNNNNNNNNNNNNNNNNNNNNNNNNNNNNNNNNNNNNNNNNNNNNNNNNNNNNNNNNNNNNNNNNNNNNNNNNNNNNNNNNNNNNNNNNNNNNNNNNNNNNNNNNNNNNNNNNNNNNNNNNNNNNNNNNNNNNNNNNNNNNNNNNNNNNNNNNNNNNNNNNNNNNNNNNNNNNNNNNNNNNNNNNNNNNNNNNNNNNNNNNNNNNNNNNNNNNNNNNNNNNNNNNNNNNNNNNNNNNNNNNNNNNNNNNNNNNNNNNNNNNNNNNNNNNNNNNNNNNNNNNNNNNNNNNNNNNNNNNNNNNNNNNNNNNNNNNNNNNNNNNNNNNNNNNNNNNNNNNNNNNNNNNNNNNNNNNNNNNNNNNNNNNNNNNNNNNNNNNNNNNNNNNNNNNNNNNNNNNNNNNNNNNNNNNNNNNNNNNNNNNNNNNNNNNNNNNNNNNNNNNNNNNNNNNNNNNNNNNNNNNNNNNNNNNNNNNNNNNNNNNNNNNNNNNNNNNNNNNNNNNNNNNNNNNNNNNNNNNNNNNNNNNNNNNNNNNNNNNNNNNNNNNNNNNNNNNNNNNNNNNNNNNNNNNNNNNNNNNNNNNNNNNNNNNNNNNNNNNNNNNNNNNNNNNNNNNNNNNNNNNNNNNNNNNNNNNNNNNNNNNNNNNNNNNNNNNNNNNNNNNNNNNNNNNNUUCUUUCUCCUUCUCUCUCUGCUCUUCUUCUUCUCUUUGGUUCUUCUGAAGUUCUGUCGGUUGAGACACAGAACGUCUGGUUCUUGUCAAUGCUUGGAUAGUAGGAUCUUCAUCCUCUUCAUCUUCAUCCUCCAGGAUGAGAGAUCUUUUCUUCUUUUUCGAUGGGGCUCCAAUGGCCUCCUUUCCUUUUCUCUUUGAAACAGUCUGAACAGGAGAUUUUACUCUGAAUUUCUCCAUUGCCUUGGAAAGUUCUUGCAGACGCAUCUUCGUUAACAUCUUCAAUCCUACCACCAUCUUAUCACACGGUUGAACACAAAGUGUUUGUGGCGGUUCAAUAUUCAUGUGUCUGAAGAUCUUGGUCACCAAACCAGGAUAAGGCAAUUGUCCUUUGUCUUUCGACAUUGCUCUGUACAUAUGGAAGAGAAUAGUGUGCGGGAGAGAGAACUUCCGUCCUGAGUUGAUCGCGUACAUCAACUUUGCUUCAGAAAGAGACACGGAAGUCUUUGACGUAGACUUCGGUUUGAGACAGUUGAUUACUAUCUUAUGAAGCACAAUGUUGAUGGCAUUCAUCCUGGAAUAGGUAACUUUCUUCUCUGCGUUCCUAUCUUUGACAAGUUCCAGAGUAGUACGAGUAGGUGAGACUUUGAUUGGUAGAUAACGUCCUCGUUCAACUCCAACUAUGUCCGCCAACAUAUUCACAUCUACCACGUAGACUUGGUCUCGUACACUGAAUGAAAUUCUAUUCGCAUCCAGAAAGCUAAGAUUUGAAUAGAAAUAAGCGGUCAGAUGAGCAUACCCGUCAGUAGAGUCAGAGCAAAAAUUCUUAAGUUGAAAUAAAUUCAACUUUUCUCUUAAGUUUAUGUUGAUGGCGUCCAGGAAGUCAAAAUCGACACUUCUAGGGUUUAUCACCCCUCUUUUCAACAGCCUGAAAUACACUUUUUCCUGAUCCUUGGAUUUGAACAAAUCCAUCCGAUUUCCUUUCACCUUUGCUGCCACUCCCAUUUUCGGUUGAAAUUCAUGGAACAUUCUGUCAUCAUCGUUCCCUUCAAUUAAAUUUUGUCCUGGCAUACGAGGAUCACUUGGAAUGUUUGCACGUGCGUCCUCUACUUUUCCUUUCGGGGCAAUUCCCAAAUCCUCCAUUUUCCUCAGAAAAAAAUACUCAUUCCCAUAAUUUUUGUCCUUAAGGAAGUCAUCUAUAUAUUGCAAUGGAGUACCGGUGCUUUUCAACGCACGAUAAAGUUUAUAGAUAAAGGAGGGUUUUUGGACUCUUACUGGGUCGGCAUCCUCGAUUAUCUCUUCUUCCAGAAGAUUACUUGCAUCUGUGGGGCAGGAGGCGUUGAAUGACGUGGAUGAGAGCGAAUCGGACUUUGUCGCUGACUUGUUAAGUCUUCUUCCUCAGUGAGGAUCGAAGUGAGUCCGGCCCCUUCCUCCAUUCUUUGGGGGCCCGCUGCUUGCGAUUCUUGAUGAUUUCCUCGAAGAAGACAUCUUUCUUUGUCGAUGGAAAAUUCCCUCCAGUCGCUUUUCCCAGNNNNNNNNNNNNNNNNNNNNNNNNNNNNNNNNNNNNNNNNNNNNNNNNNNNNNNNNNNNNNNNNNNNNNNNNNNNNNNNNNNNNNNNNNNNNNNNNNNNNUUUUAAGGUUUUGAGAUUGGGAAAGAAAAACUGUAUAUAUAUAACUCAGUUUUGAAAAGGGAAGUUCAAACGGUGCAAGGAAAGUGUAUGAACAUUUUUUUUUUUCAAAAUCAAUAACUGCCAAAAUUAUUUCUUUUUAAAAAGACAAGUCUUCAAAUUUCACACGGAUUAUAGAAUAACCGAAAGAUCGUACCUUUUAGAUAAAAUACAACUUACAGUCUAUAGCCACGAAUGUCUGAGUCUGAGGAUUUAAAGUCUGAAAGAUUAGAGUCUUAGAGUUAGUGAGUCUCUAGACUUUAACUUCUUCAAGCUUCAAAAUGUUGAGUCUUGAACGGAUGAAGUCGAAUUGAUUUUUCUCCAAAGGCUUUGUGAAUAUAUCCGCUAGUUGACUCUUUGAAUCAACAAAUUGAAUCGAGAUUUCUCCAUUUUGAAUAUGAUCUCUAAUGAAGUGAUGUCGAAUCUCAAUAUGCUUUGCUCUUGAAUGAAGGAUUGGAUUUUUGGUGAGAUUGAUCGCACUGGUGUUGUCACAUCUGAUUUCUGUGCAUGAGUCUUCAAUCCCAAAGUCUUGUAGCUGUUGUUUUAUCCAUAGAAUUUGCGAACAGCAGCUUCCAAGAGCUACAUACUCUGCUUCUGUCGUUGAGAGAGCUACAGUGCUUUGCUUCCUCGAAAACCAAGACACUGUCCUGUUUCCAAGCAGUUGACAAGUUCCAGAAGUGCUUUUUCUAUUGACUCUGCAACCGGCCAGAUCUGCAUCUGAGUAUCCUAGAAGAUUAAAGUCUCCCUUCUUGGGAUACCAGAGACCGAUGCUUGAAGAUGAGGCAACGUAUUUGAUAACACGUUUUACAACACUGAGAUGGGAUUCUCUAGGAUCUGAUUGAAACCUAGCACAAAUGCAAACACUCAACAAAAUAUCAGGUCUAGAAGCAGUAAGAUAAAGAAGUGAACUGAUCAUGCUCCUGUACAGCUUUUGAUCUACUUUCUUCCCUUCUUCAUCCUUGUCUAUCUUCUGAGAACAUGACAUUGGUAUGUCGGUCUUUUUGCACUUUUCCAAUCCAAACCUUUUGACAAGAUCAUUCGCAUAUUUUUCUUGAUAAAUAAAAGUUCCUUCCUUCAUUUGUUUCACUUGAAGUCCAAGAAAGAAUGUUAACUCUCCCAUCAUACUCAUUUCAAACUCAUCCUGCAUAGACUUAGAAAAUUUCUUGCAUAGACUUUCAUUUGGUGAUCCAAAAAUAAUAUCGUCCACAUAUAUUUGAACAAGUAAAAAACUUUUGUUUUCCUUUUUGAUAAACAAAGUAGUAUCUACUUUACCUUUGACAAAACCAUUCUGUAAUAAAAACUUACUUAGUCUGUCGUACCAAGCUCGAGGUGCUUGCUUUAAACCAUACAAGGCAUUUUUCAGUCUGAAGACUGAGUCUGGCUUCUUUGGGUCUUCAAACCUAGGUGGUUGUUCCACAUAAACUUCCUCAUGGAUGAAUCCAUUUAGGAAUGCACUUUUGACGUCCAUUUGGAAUAACCUGAAAUUUUUAUAACAAGCAAACGCAAGUAAUAGACGAAUAGCUUCUAACAUUGCUACUGGAGCGUAAGUCUCAUCAUAGUCUAUUCCUUCUUCUUGCGUAUAUCCUUUGGCCACGAGUCUUGCUUUGUUUCGUACGACUUUUCCUUCUUCAUUCAUCUUGUUCCUGAAUACCCAUUUGGUUCCAAUAACAGUUUUACCUUUUGGUUUAGAUGUCAAUUUCCAGACAUCAUUGAUGUUGAACUGUCUGAGUUCUUCUUGCAUAGCUUCGAUCCAACUUUCAUCAGAUAAAGCUUCUUCUAUGCUUUUUGGUUCAAUUUCAGAAAUGAGAGCCACAGCACUAGAUUCUUCACGCCUUUUUGAUCUGGUGCGGAUUCCUUCAUUGAUUUCACCAAUAAUGAGAUCUUUGGGAUGACUGGAUUUAUGCUUCCAGUUACUGGUUGAUCUGCCUGGUUGAUGAUCUCUUUCUUUAUUUGAAUCUUCAUGAGAUUCUUGAUGUUGGACUUCCAGAGACUGAGAUGCUUCUUGAGUUGUAAGCGUUGGAAGGUCUGGAGUGGGUUCAGACUCUUCAUACUGAGUCUGACUGGAUUCAUCUUGCAUUGAGUCUUGGAAUUUGACAUUCAUUGAUUCCUCCACCGACUGGCUUUUCUUGUUAUAGACUCUGUAGGCUUUGCUUGAUGUAGAAUAUCCAAGGAAGAUGCCUUCAUCUGAUCUUUCUUCAAACUUACCAACCCGAUCAUUUGCAUUUUUCAAAAUAAAGCAUUUGCAACCAAACACAUGAAAGUAUGAAACAAUAGGCUUCUUACCUUUGAACAAUUCAUAUGGGGUUUUCUCUAAAAUAGGUCUUAAAAAGACUCUAUUUAUAAUAUAGCAUGCUGUUAAAACAGCUUCAGCCCAAAAUCGUGAAGAAAUUUUGCUUUCAAUUAUAAGUGUUCUAGCCAUUUCUUGAAGAGAUCUAUUCUUUCUUUCCACAACUCCAUUUUGCUCUGGAGUAUAUGGAGAGGAAAACAUAUGAUUAAAACCAGAUUUAUCACAAAAUUUCGUAAAAUCUUGAUUUUCAAAUUCACUUCCAUGAUCUGUUCUUAUGCUUGAGAUUACACAUCCUUUUUCAUUUUGAACCUUUUUGGCAAAUUUUUCAAAAUACGAAAAGGUUUCUGAUUUACUUGCAAGGAAAUAUACCCAAGUAAAGCGGGAGUAAUCAUCCACAAUUACUAGGCAAUAUUUCUUACCUCCAAUGCUCUGGGUUCUGGUUGGUCCGAAAAGAUCCAUAUGAAGCAACUGUAGUGCAUGAUUAGUAGAGACAUGAUUUAUUGGCUUAAAUGAAUUUCUUACCUGCUUUCCCAGAAUGCAUGGAGUGCAUGAACCAGACUUUUGGUAUUGCAAUUUAGGUAGACCUCGAACAAGCUCCUUUGAUGAGAUUUUGGCUAAUUGUUUCAUAUUGACAUGGCCAAGCUUUCUGUGCCAUAAGACUGCUUCAUCUUGAAUUGAGAUUAGGCAUUGUGCUUCAUUUGGUUUUACAUCAAGGAGGUAGAUAUUUCCAUGCCUUCGACCCAUGAAAGACUGAGUUGAGUCUUUGCUAAUUCCAGAACAUAUGCCUUCUUGAAAGGAGAUCUUGAAACCAGUAUCACACAAUUGGCUAAUGCUUAGAAGAUUGUAGUUGAGUCCUUCCACUAGAGAGACAUUGCUUAUUGUGAGAUUUCCAAUUUUCACAGUUCCAAAUCCCACAAUGCUUCAUUUGCUGUUUCCUCCAAAUGAGACUUUUCCACCAUUCACUUGAACAAGCUUUAUGAAGCAAUUUGAGUCUCCUGUCAUGUGUUUUGAACAUCCGCUGUCAAGGUACCACUUAACUUUCUUUUUGACAGAAACCUGCAUUAAAAGAGAGUCUCAUGCUUUCUUUGGUACCCAAAUUUUCUUGGGUCCUUUGGCGUUAGUAGAAUGAGCAUUACUAGGCCAUACUUUUUUAACAGGCUUCCAAACCAUAGGACACUCUUUUUCAAAAUGAUCCUGACUGUUACACUUUGAACACCUUAGAGCAUUUCGACCUACAGACUUUACAAAGACUUUCUUGAAAUGAUUUUUGUAAGCCUCUUUUGACGGUUUUUUAUUAAUUCUUUCUUUUACUUUUGAAAAAUCAAUCAAAGGAAUUGUUUCUGCUGUCAUACCUAAACCAGACUUAUUGAAGUAAGGUCUUUGGACUGAAAGAACUUUUUCAAGUUUUUCAGACCCUAUUGAAAAUUUCUUUGAAAUAUUUGAUAAGUCAGUUUUUAAGAAAGCAUUUUCUUUUGAAAGUUUAUCUUCAUUCUCCUUAAGAGUAGAAACAUUCAAGCCUAAACUUUUCACUUUUUCUUCUAAAAUAUUUUCCUUUUGUUUUAAAACUGAGUUUUCCUUUUUAAGUUCGGAAAUCUUUUUGAGAGAAGUCUUAAGACUAAAACAUAGUUCACCAAUGUAUUUAGAGACUUUGACAGGGAUUUUAUAAUCACUUACCUCAAAUUCACUGUCUGAGUCUGAUCCAGAGUCUGAGUCUGAUUGUGCCAUCAGACAUAGAUUGGCAUAUUCCUCAUCACUAUCUUCACACUCUGUAUCGCUCCAAGUUUCGGCUUUGAGAGCUUUUCGAGACUUUUCAGCUUUUCCUCUCUUCUUCUUCAGGAGAGGACAAUUUGGUCUAAUGUGUCCCUUUUUCUUACAUUCGAAGCAAACUACAUCUUUGUUUGGUUCCUCAUUAUCAACAAACUUGGUUUGCUGUUUCUGAAGACUUUGUUUCCUUGAGUUGAACCUUCUUCCUUUUCUAUUCAGCUUUCUGAACUUUCUUAUCAUUAGAGCAAGCUCCUCAUUGUCCAAAUCUUCUUCAGAGUCUGUAUCAUCAGAAUCAUCGUUAGAUUUUAAUGCAAUGGAUUUCUUACCUCUUGGAUCUUCGUCUUCAUUAAUUCGUUCCACUUCGUAGGACUGAAGAGUUCCAAUCAGCUCGUCUACAGAUAAUGGCAUAAUUCUUUGCGUCUCUCUUAUUGAAGUCUUUAUAUGAUUCCAAUCCUUGGAGAGUCCACGCAGCAGUUUGUUCACCUUCAUAGGAUCAGAAAUUUUCUGUCCUUGAUUUUCAAGGCCAUUGACAAUAUCUGUAAAAAGGCUAAACAUGUCAGUUAUAGAUUCUCCUGGUUUCAUUUUGAAGGCUUCAUAUUGACCAAGGAGAACGUUAAUUCUGGUCUCCUUCACUCGGUCUGUCCCUUCAUAAGUGAUAUGUAAUCUGUCCCAGACUUCUUUUGCUGUGACACAAGAAGAUAUUCUGUUAUAUUCAGUUGGUGAUAAAGCACAAUAUAAAGAGUAAAUUGCUUUUGCAUCGAGUGCUUGUCUCUUGUUUAUCUCUUCUUGAGACAUUCCGCUGAUAUCAACAGUUUCUUUCCCUCUUUCGGAUACUGAUGCAGCAGUAGGAAUAAUUCCUCUUUCCACCACAUCCCAUUCCAGAGGAUCCUUUGACCGUAGAAAAGUUUUCAUCUUGUUUUUCCAGAUGUUGUAAUCCUUUCCAUCAAAGUAGGGUGGUCUGGUAUUGCUUUGCCCUUCCACCAGCCCUGGUGCUAGCAUACUAGCCAUGGAUCUUUUACUGUGAAGUAAAACACUUCAAAUAAAGUAAGAACACGGGCUCUGAUACCAAUUGAUAUUGCUAGUAUGAGUACCUAGAGGGGGGUGAAUAGGUUUAUAAAAAUUUUCUUGAAGAUUGCACAAUACUUAGACAGAUGAAGGAUUAAAAAAUCAAUCGUAAGACUGAGUAAAGGAAAGAGAGAAUUGAACACGCGGUUUAUAGUGGUUCGGCUUGAUGCAAGCCUACAUCCACUCUUCUUCACUGACAGCCGAUUGGCUGGAUUCCACUAUGAACAAAGAGAUGUUACAGUGUUGAUCUUCCUUGAUUUCUCGAUGUAGAUGAUCUACUACACUCGCUCAAGGUAUCACCAAGUAUAAACACUCUCUGUGUAUACAAUUUCGCUCGAACUGUAUCGACUAACAAUCAAGGUUCUUCAGACUCUGGAAUUUUUCUAUCAAUCACACACUUAAAACAACUAAAACGACUUCCUUUUAUACUCCUUUAUGCCAUCAUAGCCGUUGGCACUUACCAAAGGAAUUCCUCCAAUCUACCCGUUGGACGGAAUCAAUCAAGGAAGAUCAUCCGAGCUAUUUAAGGAAUCUGAUGAUAGCCCAUCAAUCCUGUUCGCCCAUACAAUCAGGAUCUUGGUUUCCAAGAAUAGAACAUUCCAAGAAUGUUUCGUCGAACAUUGGAUCUUCAAUUGAUCUUAGAUAAGAAUCAAAGAAUCCGAAAUGAUUAUCCAACCAAGGGAUCUUUUCCAGAGGAUAGGAUCGAAUCCUCAACCACAUACUUAGGCUUCGGAUUUCCUUCGUCACUGGAUUAGAAAGACUGUCAGUGAGAAUAGUCUUGAGUCUUGAGUCUUGAGUCUUGAGAUUACAAAGUCUUGAGACUUUAAACUGUCGAUAUCCAGACUAGACUGAUAGAAAUGUUUUGUCAGCUUCAAAAUAUACUGGAAAGAUUUCUCCAACAACACUUAAUAGUGCCAGGAAUCAAACUCAUAUCAUGAUACACAAAUGCACAUUCCUUGACCACUAAAUGAGCUGCGUGGGGUUGCCUCUCAAUUAUAUCAGCCAAAUCUUUCAGAAAACUAUCAAUUGUUCCUUAUAUUGCUUUUGGUAAAUCCUAAAGAACUUCUCGAUCAAAAAAAAAAUUCCUAAAGAACUUGAGCAUAGAAUAAAUUGAAAAGAAAAAAAUAACUCACUAGACAUGUCUCCUUAGUGCCUAACCGUGUGUGGCCAAGUGCCCGCUAUGAUCUAGAAUUGCACGCCCAACCGAGCAUGACUAGGUGCCCACUUUGAUCCAGAAUCGCACCGCUACGCUGUUCAAGCGAUUGAGUCUUGCUGGAGGCCCAACCACCGACCAGUAGCUUAGGCUACUUGCGAUCUCUGUUAUGGGCAUCUCAGUCUGUUCCUCUGAACAUUUACGCCAUGUCAAUGUGUAGAUUGAGUGGCGGCUUGAUUUAUUUGUGGUCAAUCUCAAGAUGCUAAUCCAAUAGAAAGCUUAAGAUUUAAAAUUUCGAUACUUGAACGUCAUCCAAUACUGUCAUUGAUCAGCUAAGCUUUUAGGGGAAAAAUAAUAAAGUAUUGUUGUUUAUGUCGAUCAAGCCGUCUAGGAUUUUGUCACCAUCUUCUUCCAAUUAAAUGAUCUCCUUUAGCAACAAAGUUUAAGCGGUACUUUUGACUUAUAAGAUGCGAAAAGAAAUGGUGCCAGUCUUGGGAAAUGGACAUAUGUAUCUACACUUUUCUCUUUAGGUAACAUAAGUAGAUUUUUCCAGAAAGUUUCGUGUGGCACAGUUUGCCAGAAGAUGUUGCCCAGCAUCGACAAACCUACUGUUCCAUAUGUUAAGACCUUAAUCUAACUAUAACAGCAUGUAAGGAAGUUAAUUAGUUCAUUUUUAGUUGGUCUAAAACCAGCUCUCUUCCAAUUUCCGUCAAAAUCUAAAAUAUUAUUCAAAUGCUAAAGGUGUAUUGCUAAAGAAUGAUUAAACACUUAAUAACAAUAGUUAACAAAUUGAAAAUAAGGUGCUUACUUAGCUAUUUAACAAGUGACCCACGGGUGCUCUUUAACAUUUGUAUGUUUUAAAAGGUUUCAUUUCCACUUUAAUAAAAAUCAAAGUACAUGCACUACAAAAUUCCGAAAAAAGCGAGAGGUAAGAAUUGAGGUGUUUCAUCUUGAAUUUUUUAAAGCAAGAAAAAGUGUUCUUUUUAUUUAAAAUAUUGUUUGAAUUUAAAAAUUUAUCAAAAUACUACAUGUGUGUGUUUAUCUGUCAACAUUUAUGUUGGCGAGGGGUAAAAAGAUGAUAAAUUGUGAAAGUAUGGGGUUUAGAAAAGCAAAAGUAAAAAAUUAGAAGUCGAUUCAGACACUCAAUUGAUUGAUUUGAUAUGCAGCGUUUCAAGAGUAGCUUCGAUUAUUGGUCCCAUGGCUGUUCCUCUACGUGCACAAGUGAACUGUUUAAAAACUUACCAAGCUCAAGGUUCCUUUCAUUUGCCGGACGACCAUAAGUGGAGACUUUGAUGAAUUGUUUCAUGAAUUAAGAUGGCUUCGAUGUUUAUACAUUGAACCCGAUAUAUUUUCUUCUGCAAUCAAUUUGCAUCUAUCUAAAUUAGUGGUGCUAGAAUUGUCACAAAACAAGCUUACAGAUGAUUGGGGAGGAUGGAGUUCGAUCAUGGUAAGAUGGAAAAAAAGACAUCUUCUAUGAUCUUUGCUUUGUUUUGUUUUAUCGAUUAAACUCCUUUUUGACAGCUUUUUUUCUUUUGUACAAGCGGCAAAGCAGCUAAAAGUUCUCAACCUUUCAUAUAGCCAGGAGUUAAGAUAUACUCCCAUCUCUCAACUUUCACGAAGUUGGAGAUUCUCAUAUUGUCCAAUUGUUACAAACUAAAACAAGUCGACCCUUCUAUUGGCAAACUCAAGAGCCUCAUUUCCUUGGACUUGUGUAGAUGUAGUAAUCUAAGAAAGCUACCAGAGGAAGUGAAGGAAUUGCAAGAACUAAAAGAACUCCUUUUAAUUUCUAUUGGCAUUACACAAAUUCCUAUGUCAGUAUGUUCUUUGAGGAAGCUAGAAAAAUUGUCUCUUAGAUCUUGUCAUUCAUUAGUUGAAAUCCCUCUCGCAAUUGGGAAUCUUUCGUCUCUCCAAUACCUUGACCUCAAUUACUGUUCAUCAUUGAGGAAAAUCUCACACUCGAUUGAGAAUCUUUCUUCUCUCAAACGACUUGAACUAGGUGGUUACACGUCAUUGAUAGAAAUCUCUAGCUCGAUUGGGAAUCUUUCUUCUCUUGCACGACUUAAACAAGGUGGUUGCACGUCAUUGAUAGAAAUCCCUAGCUCAAUUGGGAAUCUUUCUUCUCUCAAACAACUUGAACUAGGUGGUUGCACGUCAUUGACAGAAAUCCCUAGCUCAAUUAGGAAUCUUUCUUCUCUCGAACAACUUGAACUAGAUGGUUGCACGUCAUUGAUAGAAAUCCCUAACUCAAUUGGGAAUCUUUAUUCUCUCAAACGACUUAAACUAGGUGGUUUUAAACUAGGUGGCUGCACGUCAUUGACAGAAAUCCCUAGCUCAAUUGGGAUCUUUCUUCUCUCAAACGACUUCGUCUAAAGUUUUGCUUCUCAUUGACAGAAAUCCCUAACUCAAUUGGAAAUCUUUCUUCUCUUGAACAACUUGAUCUAGGGUGUUGCGAGUCAUUGACAGAAAUCCCUAGUUCAAUUGGAAAUCUUUCUUCUCUCGAACAACUUGAUCUAGGGAGUUGCAAGUCAUUGACAGAAAUCCCUAGCUCAAUUGGGGUCUUUCUUCUCUCAAACAACUUCAGCUAUGGGGUUGUGUGUCGUUGAGAGAAAUCCCUAGCUCAAUUGGGAAUCUUUCUUCUCUCAAAACACUUCAGCUAGGGUUUUGCUCCUCAUUAACAGAAAUCCCUAGCUCAAUUCAGAAUCUUUCUUCUCUUGAACAACUUGAUCUAAGGUGUUGCGAGUCACUAACAGAAAUCCCUAGUUUAAUUGGAAAUCUUUCUUCUCUCAAACAACUUGAUCUAGGGAGCUGCGAGUCAUUGACAGAAAUCCCUAGCUCAAUUGGGGAUCUUUCUUCUCUCAAACAACUUCAGCUAGGGGGUUGCAAGUCAUUGACAGAAAUCCCUAGCUCAAUUGGCGAUCUUUCUUCUCUCAAACAACUUCAGUUAGGGGGUUGCAAGUCGUUGAUAGAAAUCCCUAGCUCAAUUGGGAAUCUUUUUUCUCUAAAAAAACUUCAUCUAAAGAGUUGCGAGUUAUUGACAGAAAUCCCUAACUCAAUUGGGGAUCUUUUUUCUCUCGAACAACUUCAGCUAGGGGAUUGUGUCAUUGAGAGAAACCCCUAGCUCAAUUGAGAAUCUUUCUUCUCUCAAAUACCUUAACCUUUAUGGGUGUUGUUUACUAAAAGAAAGUCCUAACUCAAUUGGGGAUUUACCGAAUUUACAAAGCAUUGGGGAUUUUUUACCUUGAAUAGUUACCCAUUGCUAUUGGAUGGUUGAACAAACCGCCAAAGGCUAUUUCUUGAAUCUUGUGAUAGUCUAAAAGGGGGAAUUCGAAGAGAAAAUAAUGAUUUGUCUUUACUCGUGAUUCUCCAUAUCACUGGCACAUUGAUAUUUGACCCAUUAGAAAGCAUCUGGAAUCUUUCUUCUCUCUAAUGCCUUGACCAAGGGGGCUGUAAGGAGCUCGAUUGUUUCUAGAGCUUUCCUUUGGCUUAACAUAUCUUUAGGUCAAUUCCCUGAUUCCCAGGUUGCCAAAGCUUUCUUACAUAUUCCACCUGGAGGAACUUCAUUUUUAUGGAUACGAUCAACUUGCGUACUUCCCAGAGCUUUCCUCAAGACUCUUGAAACUUUGUGUUGACUCCUAUCCUAAGUUGAUAUUGCCUGAGCUUGAUGGAUUCAAGUACUUGGAAGAGUUGUCGAUAAAACACUACAAUUCCAUUGAAAGAAUGGAUCUCUCACAAUCGAAUCUUUUGAAAGGAUUGGGAAAUUGAAGAUUGCGAUAAUCUAGUUGAAAUUUAGGGCCAAGGUAAAUUGGAGUUCUUGGAGACAAUACAUACAUAUAGCUGCAAGUCCAUUAGAAGGUCGAUCCAUCCGAAAUUAUUAGGGCUUGAAACGAUUAAAUACUUGCUAUUGUGACAAUCUACCCAAAAUACAAGGUCUUGAUAAGGUGGAGUCGUUAGAGGUGUUCGAUGUCUGUAAUUGUGGUUCCAUCGAAAGAUUAUUUGACCUAUGAUGCUUUUGGAACUUGAAAGAGUUGAUUAUCAAUGGUUGUCAUAAUCUACGUGGUGUGGAGACUCAAUUCCCAGUCUUACAUAAUUGCAAGAGUGGGGACGUCGGUUCUAGAAGCUAACGUGAUGUUUUAGCCAAGAUCAAAAUUUAGAUCCAAUUGUGGUUCUUCAUACAUUAGAAGGGGUUGGUCAUCUGGUAAGAUUCUUCGUCCUUUAACAACUAGCAUGAGCGAAAAGUGUAAUACUUUUCUAACAGAUAUAUCUUUUAAGAAUUAUUUGCUCAACGCUUGGUAUCUAUUUGAUCUGGAUUUGCCUAAAUAUAUUUGCUGUUGAUUGCAUCAUGACAAUGUUUUUUCAGCUAAACUUCAAUUGGCGUGCAGUUUAUAAAUUGAGUUGCAGACAGGUAUACAAGAAUUACUUAGUGAUUUACAAGAAUUAACAACAUAGGUAUACAAGAAUUACUUAGUGAUUUACAAUUUCCCUCUUGGUAAACCCAAGAUGAGAAUUUUUCAUCAAGAGGUUGAUCUUCUGCAACUCAAUUUAUAAACUGCGCGCUAGAUCCUUUUUUCUCUUUCUCAAACUAGUAUUUUUCUUUAAAAAAUUCUUCGCCAUUUUGAACUCUUUUUGUGAGCAAUUUUAUAUGUCAGAUUUGACUAUCGAUAGUGAUGAUGGGAAAGCCUGUCCAUUGUUCAUUCGAGCAUGAAUUCUCAAUAAGGAAGAGAAACUGAGCUAAAAUAAAAAUCAGGGUUCAAUUUUUUUCUGGUACGUGAUUUAAAAAAGUAGAAAAUUAGUUUUGGCUAGCCUUUUUCAUCUAUGAUUGUAGGCAGGCUUUCCAUAAACAAUUAUGAGACUAUUGAAAUAUUAUCAAGUGAGAUAAAUUGGUGCUAGUUUUGUGACAGGUCCAGUUGGUCUAUGUAAUGAUCAAGACUUACUUUUGGACUUCAAUUCAAAGAACUGUAUAGAUGACAUUUUGCAUAAUUGGGACAAUUUUUUGCCUGCUCUGUAAAACAAGCUAGGCAAGGAGCUUAAGAUUUUGCCUAUUAUUUUGCAUCCCAUUUGAUCUUGAUGUCGCAUUUUAUCAAAUGAUUGAUCUGGGUUAGGCUAACUUGGCUGAGGCAAUUCAUAGUCCACACUAGAGAUUGAUCAAAUGAAGAAGAGGGAUUUUGCUGAGGUGUCAUCAACAACAGCUGAAUGCUAGCUUUUGUGUGACCUUGAAUAGGCUCAUGGGCCAACUGGAGUGUCCUAAGGAAGUUUCUUAUGCCUAUGAAGAUCAAAGCACUUGAUAUGGUUUCAUCAGCACAAAACUGAAUGAUUGUGAAUGUAUUAUUUUUCAGUUGAAUCUACUUUUUGUAUGCUCAUUAGGUUCUACUUCUAUUAAGCAAAUACAUACGUGCUGAUUUUUCUACAUGUUAACCAGAUGCAGAGUUCUUUGAUGCAAUGCACUCUAAUGGUAUCAUUCCCAAACCCAGUUAGGCUCUGCUGAUAGAGGUAUGCACUGCCAGUCCUGCCGUAACUGUGAAAGUGUGACUCGUGUACUUAUAUUUAAUUGAAUGGGUUGCGUGCUUGUUAGGUUCUACCUCUCUGUCAAUCAAAUAUGUAUGUGCUGAUUUUUCUGCAUGUUAUCCUGAUGCGGAGUUGUUUGAUGCGGUCUCGUUCUAAUAAUAUCACUUUCAAACCCAAUGAGGCUCUGCGGAUGGAGGUAUGUACUACCAGUUGUACCAUAAUAGAGCAACUUGUGUGCUUAUACUAUUUGAGCUGUGGAAUUUCACCAGAAAUCCGUGAACUAGGAUGCAUGAUGACAAUCUCCUCUUUUUCCGUCAGUUCAUAAUAUCUUUUGACUGUUGUGAUAAAGGUCUCUGAUACGACAGCUUAAAUCUCAUGUAUGCAUCAUUAAAUUUGUAAAGUUAAAUAUAGCCUCUUAGCAAACAAUUCCGUAUUGCUGAUUUCGCUAAUGGAUAUUGCAAAAUAACCAAGUAACAAGUACGCCUUUCUGUUCUAUAGUUUGGGCACUUUGCCUUUUCAGCAUCCGUUCUGUUCAUAAACACAAACAAGGGUGAUGGUGCUAAUUGCUGACUUCUCUUCUCUUAAGUCCGUUGUUUUCUAUUUCUUUGGCUGAUAAUGAAUUAUGUUGAUUGCGAUCCAACUGCGAAUUAAUCAGAGACCCCUGUAAUGUGUGGCAGAACUAAUGUCCCUAGAUUUUGGUGUUGAUAGAUGAGAUUCAUUGAAGAGGUCACUCGUAGAUCGCUAGAAUCUGGACCAAGUCAAAAUAAUCUUGUUUAUAUUGAUGGACUCUCAAGUCUAUGCUUACUAUUUUCAGCUAAUUUUAGGUUCUUCAUUCCAAAUACAUUUAAAAAUAGACAGAACUAAGGAUCCAUGUAGCCGUGCCUUUAUCUCUCUUCGAGAUGAUUGGAAAGUGUGACACAUUUUUACUCUCAUCCAUCUUGAGUAACACAUGCAUCACCCUCAUUUUCUGACCAUCUUUAGCAAGUGCCCUGGUGGAGACUAGUUAGAAGUCUUCUAAGGUUGAUUUGUUAGUGUUCGUAACUUUUGAUGAAAUAUCAUAAACAACCUGAAUUUAUCAUUCAUUCUUUUCCUGAAUCUAUCACGAAGUACAUAUGUUGCCUGUAGAAUUAUAAUUAUUUUCAAAAUUUCAUGUGACAACAGCUGAUUGGAAAAGCCAAUGAAUGUGAGACCCAAUUAUAGGGUUUACAUUUGAUGAUGCAGUUGAAAUUAUAAGAGACACACCUUCGGAUCGUCCAAAACUUAAUGACUUGCCUCGAAGGACACAACCAAGAGAAGGGAACAAAAUCUCACCAAGGAAUGAAAAAGGAGAAGGAGAAGGGGAAGGAGAAGAAGAUUGCCUCAACUAAGUUGACAACAAAAUUGUAGCUACCACUGCUGCCGGGACCUUCUCAUGUGGACUUCGGUGCCACCUCCUCUGUGGUUUAACUGGUACGAUGACUAAUUCAUGAAAUAUUUGAUAUAAUGCCAAAGUGCUAAUUUCCAAGUCCCCUUCAUUUAUUGAGUAGUAUAAGCUUGCACAAGUUCAAUUUCCUUGCUCUCGUACCAGCAGCAGCAUCACAAGGUCCGGUCUUCCAAUUCCUGCGGAAAUGUUCUUUUUUAUUCUUUGCAGGGUUUUGUAACGAUAAAUUGUUGAUACUCCCUGCAAUAACCGCCGACGAUCGUGGUGUACAUGGUCACAUCUAGCUCUCAGCCGGUGUCUUCCAAAUUCUUCAGCAAUCGAACGGCUUUUCCAGUAUUGCCGGUUCUGCACAAUCCCUCAUCAUGGCUUGGCACGUGGUUAUAUCUACCUCGAUUGUCUGGCCAACAUUUCAUCCGCUAAGCUCGUGGCUUUGGCGAUUCUACCCUCUCCAACGAGCCCAUUGAUCAAAGUGUCGAAAGCUUGCAGUUGUGGGUUCAAGUCCAAGUUUGACCAUUUUACACAAAACUGAGGACCCGAGAUCGGAUCUUUUCAAUUGGCAGAGGUAAUUCAUCAAAAUGUUGGGAAUAGAACUGUUGGGAGUCGUUCUUUUCGAACCCAUCUGCUCGAUCAUGUCAAUGGUGACGGGGUAAUGCUUCAUCUUGGCCCCAACCCCCAAGAGUUGGGCGAAACAUGGAGGUAAAGUCAAGAGGGUUUACUCGAAUCGUCCUCACCAAGAAGAAUAAAGCAUUGUCAGCUUCCACCAAUCCGCCAUUUCUGCAUUUCUUCACCACAAAGGUCACAAGUUCAGAUUGAUCCAUUGAAUCACUCACUCCAGCAGUGGAUGGCCAACCGUGCGAGCGACGUAAAAAAAAUGGUUCGAUGCAAAGAUGGGAUGAGAAGUGAGAGAUUUAGCAAGAUCGCCAGAUUCUCGAACAAGAUGAUGAAGAGCAGAAGUGCAAAUGGAUCGAUUCAUUCUUAUUAGUUUUGCCAAAUUUUCUCCUUCCGAGUUCAAGAAUCCACAAAUUGAUGUGAUGGCUUAUGGAGAGGAUGAUUAUUAGGCAAUUCAAUCACUGAAACUUUAGAUGUUUGAAAACAACAUAGUUUUCGGUUCAAUCAUUGAAAACUACUUGAUUGGCAAACUGAACAUUUCUAGAAAUACUCUGAUCGAUUCAUUCCCGUACUCACCACCUUGCUCAUGAAAUUUUACGGUCUGAUCUCACUUUCUAGCUAAAACAGCACUUUUCACUAUACGUUUUCAAUUAUUUUUAUAGAAGCCAUUGGUGAUGACCCAGGAAAAAGGAAAUGAAGCGGAACAUCAAGAAGGUGGUAUUUGCGCCAUUUUCCUUAUUUCCUAGUUAGUAAUGCAAUUGGAAGAGAAUGUCUUCAAAGUUCAGGCAUAAUUGAAGGAUUGCUGAGUAUUGCAGCUACCUGUGCUACUGGGACCAUCUCAUGUGGACUCCAAUGCCACCUCCUCUGUGGUAUACUGGCUAGUUCAUGAAAUAUUUGAUACAAUGCCAACGUGCUAAUUUCCAAGUCCGCUCUGUUUAUGCAACAGUAUAAGCUAGCGUAUGUUCAUUUUUCUCUCAUAUAAGCAGCAUCACAGAGUCUGGACUUCCAAUUCUUAAGGAGAUGAAGGUUUGUCUUUUUUUCUUUGCAGGGGUUUAUACCAAUAAAUUGUCGGUACUAGACACCAAGGAUCCAAGCAAUAACUGCCGAUGCUCUUUGCAAUAACUGCCAAUGAUCGUGGGGUACAUGAUCACAUCUGGCUCCCAGCCUUCGUCUUCCAAAUUCUUCAGCAAUCGAACGGCUUUCCUGGUAUGGCCGGUUCUUGACAAUCCCUCAUCAUGACUCGGCAUGUGGUUAUAUCUACCUUAUCAAAGUGUUAAAGCUCACAGUUGUUGGUUCUAGUGCAAGUUUGACUAUUUAACAUCAAAACUGAGAAACCGAGAUCGGACCUCUUCAAUCGGCGGAGGUGAUUCAUCAAAAUGCUGCGAGUAAAAACAUUGGGCGAAGUUCCUUCCAAACCCAUCCUCUCGGUCAUGUCAAUGGUGAUGGCGCAAUGACUAUUUUACUAAAGACACGUUAGAUAGAAAUUAUUACUAUGAAAACAGAGAAUAACUUCAAAAGCACCGCUGUUCCUAGGAGAAGACAACGUCAAGACCCAUUCUAAGACACCAAUUCAGCCACAGCUCCAUGAAACAGCAAGACCCAACACCGUUCCCACGCCGCGGCUAUCCAUAACCGUCGCGGGUACAGUUAAAAAACGACUCUUUUCCAUUCAUUUUCAUGUUUCCCCUCCUGCCCAUAUAUCCCACCGUCCGAACCGCCCGUACCUUGAAAGUUGCUGUAACAAACAUCGACGCCCGGGAUCGGGCGCGCCAUGUAGUAGUCGAUCGACACGAUCCGGACGCUGAAAAUCGCGGGGUCCUUUGCCGGACCCGACGCCGCUGUACUGCUGCGAACCUUCUUCCUCCGUCCGGAGGAGCGGCGGCUCCUCCAUCUGCGGAAACCUUCCCACGACCCUCGCCGGAGAAAAGCGCCGGAACCCAGGGCGCGGUUAGCCCGAAAGUCGAUCGCCGGCGAGAGCUCAGAGGCGCUGGCUGGUGGUAACCGACCGCGCGAAAGUCAAGAGCGUCUUCUCCAAGCUUUUUCCAAUUUCUUCCCUCUCGCUUGCUCUCGUGCAGUGCAGUAACGGAACGCCGGAACAGGAAAAUUGACUCCGAGAAAACUCUUCGGGCCGAUUUGAUUAUUAUAAGUUACCUCCGAAACGGUUAUUUUACUACUGUCAAAUAUAAUGAUAGAUUUCGACCAAAAAAGAUUUAACGAUAGAUUCGGCCAAAAAAUAUUUAAAGAAAACCAAUUUUUAAUCUAGAUACUAAGUAAUUGAUAUAACCAAUAUUUGACUAGAGCUAUUAGCAACUUAGCAACCAAACUAUGAUUUUAUGCCUUUCAAAUCAAUCAAAGGGAUAAGUGUAUUGGACAAAUUAAAAUUUGUUACGAAAAUGCAAUUAAGUUUUACGAUUUUUAAAAAGUGCAAUCAAAUUCUAAAACUUAUCAAGUUUUAAAAUAGGUUAAUGAUUUUAACAUGAAUUAAGAUUUGUGUAUCGCUCGAAUUAAACCUAGUUCAUAACUUAAUUAAAAAAAAAAUUGUGUGUCACACGAAUUAAGAUUUGUGACUUCAUGUAAGAAUUAAUGACAUUAACAUGUGGAUAUAAGUUUUACGAAUAAACAUCUAUAAAUUAUUAAAACAAUUGAUAAUUUUUUAACAAUCAAACAUACCCUAGUAUUUUUAUUUUAUUUUUAUAAAAGUGCGGGUACAAACAUGUCACGAGCCAAAUAAGUGGUGGAUCACCAUUUUAACUAAUCGAUUUAUAAAGUUAUUGAAAAAUACUUUUGAUCUUAUUCAUACGGAACAUCGGAAUUGUCUUGGUUACUUGGUCAAAAAACAGUUUCUUUUGAAAAACACUUUUUUUUCUAUUUUUGUUCUCAUGAGCAAUUUCUAAACAUUUAAAGGCAUUUGAUAACUAUACAAAAUUUAUGUUCCUAGAAAAGAAAUAUAUUCAAUAUGACCCCAAAUAUUUUUUAACUUAGAAUUUCUUUUAAUUUAUUAAUUAAUUUAUUAUUUUUUUCUUCUCCUUCCUCUAGUCGAUCAUCAAGGAGAGCCUCGCUGACCACUGAUGAGGUCCCCGAGCCUCUCAACCUUGCCCUAGCUACCUUGCUUGACCAUUGCAAGGUUGGCAUUGCCCACCUAGGUGAGGCCAACCUCACAGUGGUUAGGCAAGGUGGAGCCUCGCUAGGCCAUCGAGAGGCUUGUCGACCACUCCCAGCCACAGCAAGGCUCGAGAGGGGGUUGGGCAUGGUCUAGUCGGUCGCCAACCACUGUUUCUAGAGUUAUUCCUAAAAAUGAAAAAAUUUAUUUUUUAUUUCUAUUUCAAAUUCAUUUCCAAGAAAAAAAAAUUAUCAAAUGCGCUUUUGUUCUAUUUCUACUCAUUAGAGAAACAGAUGUUCCCAAAGCAUUGCCAAACAACACCUUGGUCAGCCACGAUGCUCCUAAAUUUCAAUGGCUUCUUCAAGAGGCUUCUUUAAAAACCGCAGUCACCGAAUUCAAAAGAUUCUAUCCACCCAUAAUUACAUCUACGAGUUCAGCUGAAAGUGUAUCAACACCUCAGACAAUUCACUAAAGCAUUAGUCAAUCCGCACACAAAUUACUCUGUAAAUACAUUAGUCAGUCCACGCAUAAGUAAAUCAUAUGCUCCAUUUCUUUGCAAAUGGCUAAACAUAUAUGUAGGUUGAUCACUUGAUCAGAGAAUUAUACAAGCACCACCACCCUUUUCCUCAUGGACACUGUAUUUUCACGUGAAAUGCAUAUUACAAGGGCAUUAUACAAUGGUGUAUCAACUGAGUGAUGGGGGAAACAAGUUAAUCGACAGUUGGAGUUGAACCAAGAAUGCAAAGAAACAGAGAAUGGCACACAUGGAGAAAUAGGUUCAAUUCCAGUCCCGGGCUUGAAGCUGCCUUCACCACACAUUUCAUCUUAUUAAAGCAGCCAUGAUGUUGCCUAACCAUUUCCUUUAGGCCAAGCCCACCUGUCUCUCCCACCUAAGGUCUUCUGAAAAUUCUGAGAGCGCAGCCCUUGGGUCACCAUCGGAGAUAGACAAGUAGUACUGAGCAGUCCCAUCAUCAACCUGCAUGCUCCUCCCAAGGGAGUCGAGUAUCCUCUUCUUCCCCUGUUCAGAGGUGGUCCUCUUCAACAAAGAACUUAUCUCCAUGUCUCGCACGCCUUCUGGACAGAGCACGGCGACUUCCCUCUUUGCAUGGUUAUCUCGCUCUAUGUAGCAUGUGGAAUCGAUAAGAAUGUCAUGGUUGCUUAUGGGGAUUAAUAAUCUCUCCCUCGAAUAUAUACCAUGGUCACUCAUCAUGUUGUUUAAGCGCUUUAUGUCCAUGACCUGAGUGUACCAAAAAAUUAUUCUUUUAAGCAUGUAAUAUUCGGUGUAGACAGGGACAAAAAGGACAUGUACAAAAAAAAAAAAAAAACUUUUAAGCAGGGAAGGAAAAAAAUUCAGGGAAGCCAUUCUAAAAGUAAGUCUCUACCAAUAGUUAUCAAAACAUUGAACUCAGAGAGAUCUGAGUUGACAAUCAUGGACCACAUGAUACAUCAUUAUUGACUCUUCAGGGAUCAUUAUGACCACAAAAAUGGAAAAGUUCCAUAAAAAGACAAGUUCAUUUCCUAAUUGCACAAACAAUUUAUGUUCUGGUCUCAAAAUUUGAGGGUCGCGUUCAACCAUUUCGAUAAAUCAAUACCACCAUUGCAAAAUUAUCUACCAUUUCUAUGUCGGUGUUAUUAAGUCAGAGGAACUAUCAUGACCAUCAAAAAAGUACAUCACUCAUCAUUUCAUACUGAUGACUUGCAAAAUCCAAGCAUCAUUUAGCCUAAUGUGUUUGGAUUAUCUAUUAAAGAUGCUCAAUAUCUGCUUGCCAAUCAAUCAUAUCUUUUUGCUAUUAGUAGCCAGAGAUGCUUCUUGCUUGGCAAACUUAACAAAACUCAGUCACAUCAAAAGAUUUCAAAACGUUUCACUUGAAGAGGAUCCUAUGCUCGCUAAGACAAAACAUUUGUGUUCAAGCCCCAACCUUCCUCCAUACCUCCAUAAGAAACGACAACAAUGACUUCUGAGUGUAACCAUUUCCUUUUCCUUUUCUUUAGGAUUUGCCAAAAGAUGAAGUUACUUCAAAAUUACAAAACUCGUAUAUCAAUUAGUCUGGCUUUCUCCAAUGGGAAUAAAUCCAUAAGAUUUGCAGAAGGAGAUUCCAUUGAGCAUCUAUCCUACCACCUAUUUGGUACAAUAUAGAACAACAGCGUAAAAUGGUCCAUAUAACUAACCCCACUCAAUGGGAUGAAUCAGUCAAUUACAUUGAAGUCAUUCAACCGCCAGCCUGCACAAAGAAGCUAUGAACAUCAUCAAAUGACAUAUAGAACAUCUAGCAUCUAGUCGACCUUUUUCUUCUCCUAGUAAACUCCACAAGCUAACCUUUAUCAACGAGGCCAGAGCCUAUUGAAUGGAGGUAUAAGAGAGCCAUACUCAAAAUUCUACAAAACUAUGUCCUUAGACAAUCUUGCACCAAUCAAGAGAGCUAUCCAACUUUGGCUGUUAUGGUGGUGGAGGUACGCCAGAAUGCUUCUUCAAGGAAGAAAGCCUCUGAAAAGACCUGACAAUGUUGCUAGCUAUAAAACAUUCCUCAACCCACAAGUCCUUGACCAUUCAAUGAUCUUAGUCACCAAAUAGUUGGUUCAUUCACCGAACUCACUAUUUUACUCCCCCUUUCGUUGGGAUUUGCCAUUUUAGCAAUCAAACUCAGGAUCACAAAGUACUUCACAUAUUAGGAAAAGCACCUAACCCAUCCCCACCCAUCCUCUCAGCGCCAAGGAAGUAACCAAAUAGACAGUCUAUGCUGGAGGAAGAAAACAAAUGGAUUCCAAGCCAUCAGCAGAGCCAAUCCACCAGAAAUUCCAUGAAAAUUCACAAUCAAGCUCCCAGCUUCCAUCCACUUCAUCAUCACUCAAACGGACCUACCUAUUUCUAACCCUGUCUGCCCAUGACUACACGCAGAGCAAACCAACAUGACUUCCAAAACAUCUGAAGGAUACUACCAGGAAACCUUCUUCGUAAAGUUUCAAAUGCUGCAGCUGGACACACCACUUUAGCUAACUUUUAAAUGAAAUAGCAGUCCAUUUGUUCUUCAGAAUCUGCCGAAAGUGAAUCUCCAUCGAAAAUGCAGCGCCAAAGCAUGUCAUUUGCUAACGUUUAAAGUAUACUGCGUGAGAAAAUCAUUUCGCCGCCAACAUAAUUCACAGUUUUGCUCCCAAUCAAUACAGCAAAAGGGACAGAAAAUCCAUUACCUGAACGGAGUACUUCACAGCGAGGCUCGCGACGCUAUCGCCGCGCUUAAUCCGGUGCGAGAUCGCGAACUUCCCCACGCCGUUAUCCCUCCAGAAGCUGCCCGAGCUCGGGACGCCGACCACCUCCUUCAACCUCCAGGGGGCUGCGAAGGCUCGGGUGACCAUGUCGCGAUCGGAGGCGACGGAGCUCCAGAUGCGGCAGACGCAGCUCGCGCGGGCCAGGUCCGGGACGGGGAGCUUCUCGAAGAUGAGCCGGAGGGUGUCGCGGCAGGCGAGGGCGGAGAAGUGGGAGUUCAUCGGCGAGAUGGUGGAAUCGUCGGCGGCGGAGGCGGGGGAUGACGGCGGCGGAGAGAGAUCGGGAGUCCGGGGUGGAUGCUCCCGGUCGUCGUCGUCGUCGUCGCCGCAGCAGCCCAUUGAGAGAGAGAGAGAGAUAGAGAGAGAGAUGGGAAUGUGUAUGGGGGUCGGUUUUGAUGGUUUUGGAUUUUCGGUUUUGAAUGGUGGAUUAGUAGAGGUGGCUGGAAUAUGGGUGAAUUGCGCUUUUGACCCCCUGUGUUAUGGAAUUUAUUACAAAUUGCCCCUGACUUUUCGAUUUUUCGCGAUCUCUCCCCUAAAAUUUGAAAUCGAUUGCAAUGUCAGGCUGGUGUGACUUCCAUUAGGGGUGUCAAAAACCGUCCCGAAAACCGAACCGAACCGAACCGAAAAAACCGAAUUUUUUCGGUUCGGUUUUCGGUUCUCAUUAAAAACCGAAAUUUUUUUAUCGGUUCGGUUUUUUAUCGGUUAACCGAACCAAACCGAACCGAUAAACCGAUAAAAUUCUAAAACCUUAUUUCGGUUCGGUUACUUCUUCCUCGACGAUUCCCCUCUCUCUCCUCACUGAACACUUGCCUGCAGCCCUCCUGCCUGAACCAUCGCCACCGCUACGACGAGCCUCUCACCAGCCUUGAGUCCACGAUGGACUCAUCUCCCAACAGCAGCUUAUCUUCCAUGCCCGAGCCUCCACCAAGACCCACCGCCUAGACCAACCGAGAAGCAUUACCGGCGCCCCGACCUCCACGUCUGACCACACCUGGUGCUCGGCGAGUCACGGCCGACAACCUCGGCCGUCGCCGGAACCCCCUUGCCCUCGCUGGCCUCUUCACGGUGGAAGCCAAACUUUGCCCAUAACACCCAAACAGAGACCCAAUCUAAGGUUUCGACACACCCCUACCAUCCGAAAACCACGCCUCAACGACGCUUGCCUCCGUUUGCUCGAUCAAAGAAAGGUGCAACAACAGCCACAAACAAAACAAUACAACGAGAAUGAAUAUUCCCCACACAAACUUUCAGAUCCAGUUCGGGCAUUAUAUCAAACAAUUGGGGCGCGCUACUAUAACGAGGGAUUUUUGGGUCAACCGAAGCUCGACCCACACUGGGACUCUCGACACGUGAUGAGGAAGACAUCGGAAACAAAACACGGGGCGACGCCGGCCGGAGCUCGCGGGAGCCGGACGGCCAGGAGCUCCGGCCCGGCGCACCCAAAACAGGGCAAGAGCAGGGGCGAGCUUACCUAUUCAGCUUACGCCUUACGCGCGUUGCCAAGAAGGUCGUCGUGUGGUUUGUCGACGAACAGAGUAACCAAAAAACCGAAAACCAAAAACCAAAAGUUAAAAAUCGAAAACCGAAAACCGAACCGAACCGAACUGAAAUUUCGGUUCGGUUCGUAUUCGGUUCGGUUCUUACUCGGUUCGGUUUGGAAGUUAUUUCUAACGGUUCGGUUCGGUUCGGUUUUUUUGAAAAAUCGAACCGAACCGAACCGUUGACACCCUUAACUUCCAUCAUUUUUCGGUUUGAGCACCGACCAUGUGCUUGUCACGUGACUGAGUUGAUCUUUUAUGGAGGGUAAAUCUGUCGGAUGAUAACAUGCGAAUUGCAUUUUAACCUCCAAACUUUGGCAAAGUUGCCCUAACUCUCCCUUAUAUUUCUCUUCCACUUUUUAUCAGCAAUAUAAAUUAUAAAAUCAUUUCCUUUGAUUUAUAAACAUAUUGCUCACGCAAAAACUUCAUGAAAGGAAGUGGUUAUAUUGAUUUGGUAUUUUUUUUUAAUAAUAUAACUAGACACAUCAUCACACCGCAUGAAAAUCUAAUGUUUGUAUCAUGUUCCUACAUAUUGAUAUUAGUGCUAAACUAUCAUGUCUUUUAUUUAACAAUUAAAAUGAUUGACUUACUGAGUAAUCACUUUAAUAUGUGCUAACAAACAAGUUCUACAAGUUCUAUUGUCUCUUGCAAUGUUAGGACCUCUAUUUGCUUUCGUCUUACCCUGUAUUGCGAGCCCUAAUAAGCCAUUUCUAGAAAUGAUACACAAAUCUUUUAGGUGAUUACUCAUGCCUUUGAAAGUUUGGACGAGGUUUGGAGGCUGUAAUCAAAAUCAAAUGCAAAAUUUAUUAUUGACUAAUUAUUUUGAAAGUAUGAGUUAAAUUUGUAAAAAUAUUGAAAACAUAAUCCCCUUGUGAAAAUUGGCCCGAGCCAACACUAGGGGGAGGCUUUGCAACCAAUUUCAAGACUUGAGGGAGCAUUGCGAAAAUUGAGAAGUCAUGGGGCGAUUUGCAACAAGUGCCAAGAUCUAGAGGGACGGGGUGUAAUCCAUUCCUCAAAUUCCGAUGCCGCGAAACACUUUUUCUUUGCAAUUUUAUUUUUCUUAUUUCUAGUUUGUGGAGUUCUUCUUCUGCACAUAAUGAGAAAAAUACGCACGCGAAAUAGUUUUCGAUGAUGAUGACCAUAUUUUGAAUCACUUGUCGCCGGAUUUUAACCGUUUUGCCUAUACAAAAUGGCAAAAAGAUGAUUUGCCCACGUGUCUAUUGAUUUCGAUUUUAAAGAAGAUACACUAUGACAACUAAACAAAAUAUAAUGUUGGCCUAUGCUUGAUAACGUCGACUCAUCUUUGCUUAAAGUAUCAUGAAACUGUCGAGCUCUCUUUCUGAGUUUAAGUGUAACGUAACUUCAUGGAAGGAAAUCAUACUACUGGCUAGCUUUUUAAUCUUGGGAUCAAUAAAUGUUUAGAUGCUAGGUUCUUUUCACUUCAUUCUGGAGAAUAACUUCAUGUUUUAUUACUAAAAAAAAAAGGAAUAGUAGGCUCUCGACAUUAAUAUUUUGUAUUUGGCUUUACCCUUACUUUCAAACAAUAAAUAAAUAAAUAAGAUUUAAUUAGCACGGGUGCUAUGAAAGUUAUUACCAUGUGGGGAAAAUCGACACUACUACUAAGCUUCUUUGUUUGGUGUCUUCCGCAGGAACCAAAUUUUCUUCUGUGUUGGCAAAAACUAAACUAUUCUUUAACAAUAACGAUCGUAUUGAUCACAGUAUAUGCCGAGGUUGAUUGAAUUAAACGGAUUGAAAUCUUAAUAGAAAUCAAUUGAAACUUUUACUCUAUAUAGAUGAGAGUGAAAAUAGAAGUUCCAGCUCCCUACACUUAGAUCUCCACCUAUCGUUAGAUCAAAUUUCAACUAGAAUGGAAUGAACAACUUAUGAGCAUUAGUGUGGUUUCACGUACAGUUCCAUGAAAGAAAAUGCAAAAUCUGUAAAUGUAUCUCUCAUGGAUAAUUUACUUGGAAUUAGAUCCUAAAAACUGGUGAGGCUUUGAUAAAUCACGUCUUACACUAUAUAGGAGUAAAUAUACUUGUUGAUAACAAUUGAGGCUAGGUAGAGAGAGAUUUGGGAGAAUGACAAAAGAUAGAUUCGUGUAGCCUUUAAUAGAACUUCAUGAGCAUUGACGGACAGAUUGAGUGAUUAAACUCUUGAUUUGGAUGCAACAAAUUUCAUAUUUAAAUGGUAACCUCGGAGGCCAUACCUGUAAUCUAAUACACAUAGAAGUGGUGGUUUGCAUUCAUACGUGGGAUCAAUUGAGCCAAAAGAGUUGGAUAUCACGUGUUAUAAAAAAAAUCAUAAGAAAAUUUUUAGACCACUGUCCAACUAUCUUUAAUUCUUAAUUGAUAUGGUAUGUAAGCACUUGGUUAAGAAGAAUUCCAUGGCAGACGACUCCUACAUUUUGCGCUUUAGAUCUGGAUCGUGCAAGCAAGGACUCAUGCAAACUAACUCGCCUUAAGUUAGCGAUGGUUUACUUUAUACCACGUCAACGACAUGAAAUCUGCUUAUCAAAGGCCCAUGAGUCAAUUGAUUUUCAUGAGUAAGAACGCAGAUGACUGAGAAACGGCAGAUCUAGAGCAAUCCAAGCAACAGAAUGCAUCGCACACAAAAGAGAGGGCCAGUGGUGAUGGGGCCCGAAACUAAAAUAGCCGACGGAGCAUCCGUGCCCUCAUUCAAAAGAUUUUUCUGGAAAUUGCCUGCUUUUUCAUUGGAACAGACAUGGAAUUUUCUAACAAAUAUUACUUUUUAACUUAUAGGGACAAAAAAGAUUCAAGCCAUUUGUCUUGACAAAGGCUCAGAAGAAACAGAUGACAAAGAGGACCGGACAUACACAAAUGAAUAAUUCAGGAAGUUAUUGAGGUUAAGGUUCCUCCAAGCGAGGGAUGCAAAUUUUAGCGGAGAUUUUUUAGAAGCUAUUUCUUGAAUGAAGAUGGCUUUAGUGGACAGGAUGUCCUUCAUCCUUCGAGGCGACCAAUUUGCGUAUGGAGAAACUAGUCAUUUUGGGAUUGACACAAAGCGCAAUCGCAGAACAUUGGAAUAGAUGGAGCUUAAUUAGGAUAAGCCGGAACGACAAAUCUUGAUGUCGUGUUUCUAAUACUGAUUACUCCUUGACGACUAAUUCCCACUAUACUCUUUGUUCUUAUAGACGGCGAAGUGGCUCAAAGUUUGGAACCUUAGUGUGGUCAUUUACCAUGUACUUUCGGCUAUCUAAAAUAUAGAAAUUCUCAUCCUUAAAGAAUGUGAACAUCUAGAGCAAAUUCACCAUUCUAUUAAUGAAUUAGGAGAAUUGAAGGAACUUGUUUUGGAUUCGACUGCUACAAGAGAGAUUCCUGCUAUUUUUUCACUGAGGAAGCUAGAAAAGCUUAGUGCCAAGCAUUGUUAUGCUCUGGUUCGACUUUUCGGACUCCAUAAGCCAUUCAGUGAAUCUGUCAACCCUCGAAUUUAUGCAAUUGUCAGGGAAUGGCCGAACUUCUAGGCAACAUUGGGUACCUCAAGAAGCUGCAGAGCUUGCCAUUUGGCACGACUUCCACACUCUGUUGCCCAUCGACACAAAUCCCAAACUCCAUUGGGAAGAUGGAAUCCCUUACUAAACUCGACCUGUCUAGCACAAGCAUAAUGUAACUACCAUCUUCCAUAGGAGAUUUGCAUAACUUGGAAAUCCUGAAGAUUUCUCCUACCAGGAUUGAAAAGUUACGAGGUGCAAUUGGAAGGUUAGGGAAACUCCCGCAAUUGGAUGCUUCAAGUUGCACUAGAAUAGAAGGGGAAAUUCCAAGUGAUUUUAACAACUUGUCUUCACUCGUGAAGCUUCCAACAUAUACAUCCAUUUCUGGCUUGCCAGAAAGCACUCAGAAUCUUUCGUCUCUACAACAUCUUGACUUAGGGGGCUGCCAAAAGCUUCAAUCACUGCCUGAGCUUCCUUCUGGGUUGGACUUUCUGCAAGUCACUAAGAGUUUUUGCCUCCACUUUUUUACCAAAUUCAUCUAAGAGAACUCUCUAUUUAUGAUUGCAUAUCGUUGGAAAAUCUCCCAGAGCUUCCUCCAAGACUAUUGAAGCUUCAUGUCACAAGAUGUGGCAAGUUGAAAUGCUUGCCAGGAUUUGAGCCCCGUGAAUGCCCCAAAAUGAUGCAAAGCGAACGCCGACAUGUUGCAAUAUCCCCAAUGACGUCGGCCAUAGCAGGUCGCAUGAAGUUGACUAAGCUGGAUGGCCUUAGACAAUGUGCAGAGUCCCUGAGAUGCGUGCCAAUGAGCAAGAACUAUCGAUCAAGCACUCCAUUGGAUAUGGAAGACAAUCUAGUCGAAGUUCAAGGUCUUGACAGGUUGAAGCACUUGGAAGAAUUGGAUGUAGAUUUUUGCCGUUUUAUUGGAAGACUAGACCUUCCAAAAUCAAAUCAUUUGAACGAUUGACUACUAGAUAUUGCAAAAAUCUAGUUGAAAUUUGAGGCCUUUAUUGUUUGAAGUUCUUGGAAGCAUUGCAUAUCACUGAUUGCACGCCCAUUUUGAGAUUGAACCUUGCAAAAUCAGAGCGUCUAAAGGAAUUAAAGGCUGGAAAUUGCAAAAGUCUAAUUGAGAUUUGAGGCCUUGAUAGGUUGAACUUCUCGGAAAAGUUGGAACUCUGGUCAUGCAAGUCCCUGGAAAGAUUACCAAAACUGUCGUGCUUGGAGACCCUGAAAGAGUUGAACAUCAACUGGUCCAUUGUCUGACCAAAAACAACUGGUGCAUUGAGCUUCGUGAUAUUGAGUCUGGAGAAUUUCUUGUCCUGCCAAAGCAUAUACAUGGACGAAUGUCCAUCCUUAAAGAUAUUGCCAAACCUGUCAAAUUUCGAGAAUUUAGAGAAGCUCACCAUCGGGAUUCGCUUGAUAUUUUGGAGAUACUCGGGAUUGAGGAUUUGAUAUCUCUCACACAUCUAGAUAUCACAUGAUGCAAGUCAAUCAAGACUUUACCAGAUUUGUCGACAUGUAAGAUGUUACAAUUUUUGGUGGCCCAAGACUGCGACAAACUUGCCGAACUUCGAGGACUUGAAAAUUUGGGUUUGAUGUAUUUGGAUGUUUCUAGAUGCGACUCACUGGGAGCAAUACCGAACUUUUCUAGAACACACGUCAUACAGGACUAUGAAGAAUGCCCAUAUGAAUCGAUUAUGGCUUACCAAUGAUUGAAACCCGAAGGUAAUGAUGUGAUAAAUCAUGUAUUACAAUUGUGAGACAAUUGAUGCUUCCCACUAAGGAAAAAGAGCAAGUAAAUUGUCAUUCUUCUUUUGAUUCGUACUAACUUUUUGCCAAGAACAUUUUCCUAAACAAUCAGCUCUCCGAUUUUUCAUUAUGAUCAUGAAGCAUUGGAAUUUUAUGCUACGCAAGGUUGAUUUGUUCCGUUGAUGCUUGUCCUGGACAUUCCAACUUGGCAAAGCUAAUCUCAUCUAUACCAUAUGUGCUCUUGGUUUUGAUGUGAGCGAGUUAAAUCAAUCAAGAAAACUACUUUUCCAAUUUCGCUGGAAACCCAGUCUAACACGUUAGCUGCUGCACGUCCAAAGAACUCCAAGAAGUAAGGAACGACCAACGAGCUAGCCACAAAGAACGAUGCUUAAAGCUUGUGGAGUUAGUAAUGCUAUCUUCCAUUUGCUUGAACUCAGUUGACCACAAAAUGCACCUGUAAAUCUCCCAAAAAAAAAAGGGAAGGGAAUGUCUUUGAAGAUAGAAGAUGACAAACGAAAUCGUGAGGAUUGCAGCUACCGCUGCUUCCAGAGGCUUCUCAUGUAGACUCUGGUGCUGCCCCCUCGGUGGUAUGAUGAUUAGUUCAUAAAAUUUUUUAUAUAAUGUCAAAGUUUUUGUAAACACAGCGAGCUGUCAGUAUUGCCAAUUUUCCAAGUCCACACUAUUUAUUCGAAAGUAUAAGCUAGCAUAGAGUCAUUUUUCUUACUCUCAUAUCAGCAGCAUCACAAAGUCUGGUUUUCCAGUUCCCCGGGAAAUGAAGAUUUCUUUUCUCUUUGGGUUUAUACCAAUAAAUUGACGAUGCUCUUACUUUGUCAAAAUGUCACAGUUGGCAUCAAAACUAAAUUGCAUAUUAAGCUUAUAUUCGAUAAGAAAAUUAACGAGAGAUUCACUCACAACGUCUCAGCUGGAGAUCUCCAUCAGUUUUCUGACUCAACUGGCUGAGGGGGACGACAGUCUUCAUUGCUCAAGCUUUACUUAGGUGUUUAUUGUUGCGCUGAAAUUGAAGUGUAACUGCAGAUCAUUUUUUCUUUCCCUGAUCUGUCACCAUGUAUCAGCAACAUAUCGAACUCUAUAGAUUCGUUGCUGACAGGAAUAUACAACUGUACCAAGUUUAAUGGCACUUGCAGCAUGAUCAAGUGCUAUUCAACUCGGUGCUAUUCGAUGGCUGUCCACUAAUUUGUGUAAUUAUCGUACGUGUAUUUACAUGUAACCAUGUAAGGUUUUCCUCAUGAAAAAGUGAGGGAAAAUUAAUACCAUGCGUUGUUAAUUACAACGCUUCAGUCCCUUAUUUAAUUACAAGUUAUUUAAUUGCUUGCUUUAGUUAUGAUUGAUUUGUUUUUGAAGCAUCUGUUCACAUUGAAACAGUUCGUGGAAGUUGUGAUUCUUGUUGUCAUAGUUUGGCAGUUAGGAUUGCUGGAGACUCUUGAAUUACUCAUCUAGUUCCUGAUUUUCUGAAUCAUUAUCACAGUCUUCUAGCUGAAGAUUGGACAUCUUAGCAAUUUGUCAGCCGACAAUUUCUGCAUAAGUGAGAUUUUUGCUAUUUUAGCAAAAAUAACUUCAAACAGUGCUAAUGCUUGGAUAAAUCUUGUUGAAGUUGGAAAUGUUAAAUUCAUUUUUCUAGGACAUGAUAAUUGGCACCGCAUGUAGAAAUCCAUCCACACUCCAUCCAAAUCCAGGACUGAUACAAAUUCUGUCUCUUGGAGCAUUAUAAGAAACAGGGGAAGCAGAGUAGAACGGUAUUAUGAAAUACUGAAUGAGUCAAGUGCAAUUCCAAAUAAAUGUCAUUUUACCAGAAUGCAGUUCCAAAUAUUAGUCGAAACCGGCAUUUCAUACGUGCAAGCUGCCCCUAAAGUCAUUGCCUAAUCAAUCCAAAGGCUUUGCACCUGCAGCCUGCAUCCUCUUUCUGUCAAAUUACUUAGCAUAAGGUGACAUCAGGCCUGGGAUCGGCACUCUGCAGCCUCUUUCUGUUGAUAUCGUUAGAAAUCUAACAACCUCAUCCAAACCUUUUUUGUGGUUAUUUUUCCAUAUUACAUCAAAACACAUUGAAAAUCACUUAUCGGGUUAUAGUUUUGCCUAAUUAGAUGAACGAUUCUAGUGGACCAAUGAUUAAAAAAAAAUCUUUGGCUUUACCAUUGAAAGAACAUCGACAUUAACAUGUUGUUAACAUGUGACUAAGGUCUUUUGCGAACCUUUUUUUCCUCCACCAGUGUGAAUUUCGCAAUAAUAAUCGCAAACAUAGUAUGCAUUUUCUUUGUGGCGUCAUAGUGGGCAUACAGCUCCGUAUAGUCUCUUCAAAGGUUUUCUCUGAUAAUUCAGUAGAAAUUGUUAUCAGAAGUUGUUUCUGGUGCUGUAUUUUUUGUCCUAACUUCUUAUACUAAUAUCAAAAGGUUUCCUGAAUCAAUUGUUCAAUUGCACAACCUAGAGGCUUUGAUGUUGUGGGGUUGUGAAGAUCUCACUAAAUUACCUGAACAUAUUGAGAAACUGAUUGACCUACGAUUUCUUGAUGUCAGAGAAACUCUGAGCCUAAUAGCUAUGCCACUAUUUAUAGGUAUGUUGUCCAAGUUUGUUGGGGUAACCAAAAACGAGUUGAAACUAAAGGAGUUGAAAAUAAAAUUGAAUGCACCUUGUGGGGAAAUCAUUCAUCUCCAAGUUGCAUAGGGUUCGAGAGCAUGUCAAUUUACCCAUGAGAGACGCACUAUGCCGGUGGACCAUGCAGUGAUUGAAGAUUAUGAUAAUUUCCAGAAUUUGUAUUCAUUUAUGACCGAAUGACUAGCUUGAACAAAAAGAAUAUGCAUUAAGAAUCAUAUUGGCAAAAAAAAAAAAAAAAACGUAAAAGGACGACAUAGAACGAAUUUUAAAAUUUCAAGGACCGGUGGUUUAUUAUCUCUAAAGUUUUUGCACAAGUUUUAUGAAGAGAGUCUCCGAAAAUUUUUGAUAAAAGUGAAAUGUAUUACUUUCUAUUCUUUUCCCACAAAAUUAAGGCAAUAACACUUCCAAGAAAAUGAUCUACACGUCUCAAUGUCUUUUCCCGUUUCCACCUGCAUUAUUUUCUCUAACAUAGCUCUUAGAGAGUAUCAUCAUGUAAAAAUUAAUCUCCACUAUUAAUACAUCGACUUUUACACUGGUAUCGAUUCUUCAUUGUUGGUCAAAGGCCUAAGUGUAGAUUAAAUGCUAUUCAGCAAAAGACCAAUUUUCCACCUGCUUUAUUCUAGUGCAUUUUGCCGUACGUCACAUUUGAAUUGUUGUACCUCAUGGGUACUUUAACAGUAUUAGAUGAAAGACUGAGAUUUAUUCUUUAGCAAUUUAAUGGUCACGGAUCUUAUAGGACUUGUAGAAGUGCUCAAAAGUGACUAUUAACUUUCUACGCCUUUGACACAGACAUGGUAUAUACACUGAAUUAGAUUUGGACCACCGAAAAUGACAAGAUCCAUAUAAAUUUUAUGUGAGUUCCACUAAAUUUAACUGUCUAAAUUCAAAUGACGGUGAGAGUACAUUGGGUUCAUGGAAUACAUAGUAGAAAAAUGAGUAAGGAAUACGCAAUGCGGUUGUCGUACCACAUAAGUUGCAUUCAUCAUGCUGGGUUUGACAACACCCGAGUGGAAGGCCUACUAAGAAGGAGCCAUAUAAAAAGCAAAUAAAAAAAUCAUUGCUAUUUUCUUUUUCUUUUUUUAAUUAACAUGAACUACAUGUGAAUGUAGCUCAGACUUAUUAAAAGUUAUAUUGAAUCAAAUCUUGUUACUUCAAAUUCACAACAAUCUUUUCUUUGAAUUUUACCUAACCCAUACUAUUCAGCUAAUUAAAUAUGACUUAAAAGUUAGAUUUUUGACCAUGUUAGUGCUUCUAGCGGUGUGACACUUAUAUUUUAAUGGAUAAGGAAAGCAAAAGGUUGUCCAUCUUCACUUUGAUUUGUGCGGCCAUGUGAUCACAUUACAACGAGAACUAACAAAAGGGAAGGGUUAGUCAGUUAAAGAAAUAAAUCGCCUCACCAAAGACGGUAAGAUUAUGUGUAUUCCAGGAACUUCUAGCUCAUCUUUUAAGGCAAGAGAAUAAGUAAUUUCCGACAUCAACACUUUUGCAAAAGUUGCCGAGCAAAGGGGAUGAUUGCGUGGCUCUUUAAAUAAUGUACCGUGCGAAAACUAAUUUUACAAUGUGAACACCUUGACUCCAAUGUAAAGUAUCGAUUCUUUUUGUUAAUGGGGUCAGGGAAAGCUAAAGGUCACCCGUCUUUAUUUUGAUUUGGUUGGUCACGAGGUCCAAUUGCAAAGAGCAAGUAACAAAAUAUCCUCAAAAGUCUAAAGCGAGAUAGUCUUGCCCGAAGGUGACAAUUAACUUUUUGGCCUUUUACACAAAUAAUAUAUAUAAGUUUUAUAUGAGGCUUGCUAAAUCUAAUGAUCUAAAUUAAAAUUAUGAUAAAUGCAUAUCAAGUUCGCUCAUGAUGCAUUUGAUAAUAUUUCUAUUUUCAGAAAUAAUUUCUAUAUAAGAAUAAUUUUUUUCUUCUUUGUUCCCAAGAACAAAGAAAUAUAUUUUAAUUACUUUUUUUAUUCCAAAUUUAUUCACUGGCUAUUUGUCUAUUUUGGAUAAUAGAAAAAUUAGCUGACAUUACCAAAUAUAUUUCUAUAUUUCUAUUUCAACAAAUAAAAAAUAGAAAAAUAGGAUGAUUAUAAAUAUGCUCCAAAUAAUCACCAGAAAAAUUGUUUUUGUCUGGACCUGAGUAGGUCCUUAAACUGCUCAAUGGAGGUAAAGGCGGGAGAACCGCCCCGGGGUGGGUGACCCUGUACUUGCCUCCCCAUCCUCUCGGUUGGGUAGAUAGAUAUAGACCGGGAAUUUGGAGGCUCGUAGACAGUGAAGGUAGAUAACUAAUCCUAGAAACACUGCGUCUGUGGUAACAUAGGUUACAACUGGGCUGGCAUGGGGUAACUAAUCCCUGUUAGGGGUGAGCGGUUCCAGGUUCCAGUUCGGUUCCGUCUGGAACCUGGAACCUACCCGUGGGAACCAAGAACCUGGAACCUACCCUGUCACAGGUUCCAGGGUCGGUUCCAGGUUCCAACAGGUUUCUUUUUUUUUUUUUUUUGUUAUUUUCAGAUUUGAACUAUAACAUAUGCGCACGUUACCCAAAAAAACUAUAACGUACGCGCACGUUACCAAAAAAGCUAUAACGUACGCGCACGUUACCAAAAAAAAAAAACUAUAACGUAUGCGCACGUAACCAAAAAAAAUAUAUAACGUAUGCGCACGUUACUAAAAAAAACUAUAACGUGCACGCACCUUACUAAAAAAAAAUAUAACGUAUGCGCACGUUACCAAAAAAAAACUAUAAUGUACGGUAACUUCCCAUUGACAUGUUAUCUUGAUACAUUAACUUCGCACUGCACAACAAUAAUAGAAUAUAAUUAGAAAUUUCAAAACAAAUAGCAAACUAGAAAGUAGAAAUAAAACACCACUAGAACAAGAAUGUCUAGAGGUACAAGUUUUGAAAACAAUUUCGAUUAAACCCUUAAAUGAACUCAGAAAAUUCUGAAAUUUGGACGCGUUGUAUUUAAGACCUAGAGGUACAAGUUUCAUGAAGAAAUCGUAGUCCAAUUCGUUCUGGAUUAAAAGAUAAAAUCGAUUUACUUUUCCUAUUCUCUACUUGCACAGUUUUUGAAAUUUUUUUGGUUAAAUAGGCAAAUGAACUACAAAAAUUACGAAAUUUAAAUAUGUUGUAGGGAAUACAUGAAGAGAGAUAUUUCAUGCAGAACACAUUUCCAAAAGAACCUCAUACAAAAUGAUAUAGUCCACGCAUUGCAACUUACAAGAUCCGAACACAUCAGAUUGCACAGUUUUAGAAACAUUUCCGAUUAAAUAACCAAAUGACCUUCAAAAAUUAUGAAAUUAUACUAUGUGAUAGCCAAGACCUUAAGGUAGAUACUUCAUGAAAACAUCGAAAUCAAAUUCGUCCUAGAUAAUUAAAUAUGAACGGUUAAAAUCCCUGUUCGUAGUACCGUAAUUCCAGAUCUAACCAUCUCCAAAGGACCACGAUUUCACCUACCUAUUCUUGUUUGUUUUCUCUAAAUUUUUUAUAUGUGGUACCUCAUGAUGUCCUUUAAAACUUUUGUUAAGAAACCGAAGUGAAAUUGCGACAAAACGGUUGCCUUACAGUCCAUGCAUUCAUCAAGGGUCGGUCCCAAAAUCUCCAGAUCCAGUCUUUCCAAAGAAUAACGAUUUUACCCACUUAUACUUGUUUGUUUUGUCCCAAAUUUGAGUAUGUUAUACUCCAAGAAGUCCUUUACAACUUUCAUUUAGAGGCCGAAGCCAAACUUCAACUAGAACAUCACAUACAAGUCACUAGAACAUCCAAGGUCGAGCUUUUUCUGCCCUAAGUAACCGGUUCCGGUUCCAGUUCCGAAACAGGUUCCGGUUCCGAAAUCGGUUCCGGUUCCGGUUCCGGUUCCGGUUCCGGUUCCUAGAAAAAAAGGAACCGGAACCGGUCCCCCUUGGAACCGGGAACCGAACCGGACCCUCCUCCAGUUCGGUUCCGGUUCCCGGGUAACCCGGGAACCGCGCUCAGCCCUAAUCCCUGUCCCUUGCCCAGCGUGAUACGAGGUGGGUGAAAAUCCCACGACUGUUUAACAUGCCUAACGGCAAAGGCAAAGGAGAGAAAAAGCUUACGCAAUUGUCGUACCCCAUGAGUUGGCCUCCACAUGCUGGGUUGUAUCGCACUCGAGCAUAAGGCCGACAAAGAAGGAGCCAUGUAAAAGCAAAUGGGAAAAUCAUUACUAUUCUCUCUGUUUUGAUUAACAUGAAUUACAUUUUUUUUUUUUGAGCAAGUAACAUGAAUUACAUUUGAAUGUAGUACAGACUCAUAAAAUUUAUAUGUAGUUAAAUUUUUAACAACCCAUUCUUUAAAUUUUUGCUAACUCAUAUAAAAUCUAAUUCACUAAAAUUUAUAUGUAGUUAAAUUUUUAACAACCCAUUCUUUAAAUUUUUGCUAACUCAUAUAAAAUCUAACUCACUAAAUAUGAGCUGAAUUAUAGAUUUUUUUACUCAUUUUAACGCCAGCAAAAGACUUCCAUUUCCACGGGCAGGGAAAGCAAAAGAUUGCUUAUCCUCACUUUGAUUUGCAUGGUUAGGUGGUCCAAUUACAAGGAAAUCUGACAAAAGGUGAGGGUUAAAGAUGCAAAUUGCCAUAUCAAAGACAUCCACAAUAAGAUUGUGUGUAUAAUUUGUAGUAAAGACAAACUAAAUUAAUGAUAAUUCAACAAAAGAUACCGAAAUGAAAGUUCAUUAUGUUCCUAAUUAAUUUCUAUAUACAAUUGUUAUACUAUUACUAACUAGUUUAAUUUGCGCAAAUUUUAAAUUUUAGGUGAGAACUCCUUCAAUUUCUACCAACUUACGAACUCCCACUAGAAAAAAAAUAAUAAUUACAUGAUCUCAUGUAAUUUUCACAUUUUUCUAUUAAUAUUUAAAGGCAUAGCAUGAUGUGAACUAAUACAAAAAACAAUCAUGUGGCAACUAUAAUCGAAAGUGGAAUUCAUAACAUAAUGAAAAAGAUCGAUGAUCUCUUGCCACUGUUUAAUUUUACUUGGAACUAAGAAACUACAAGCAUGUUAAAGAAUAUACAUGCUAUCAUCAAACCAAACUCUAUCCAACACAUAUGUGGUCAUUUACAUGUAGAGUAGCUUCUUUAUUUUCAAAAGUAUAGAGAAAUACAAAUUAGAAUGAAUAAACAAUGUACUUAUAACCCAAAAAUAUACAUACUUAGAGUUCCAUAUGCAUUUUUAUUUUAAAAACAAGAAAAAUAACUAAACCAUAAUAUAAAGCACAUCCAUAUGAAUCAAACCCACCAACCACAUGCCCACACGGGCCAGCGAACCAACGAGGCUCCUGGCAGAUUUGAUCGGUCCAAUUGGUGACUGGUCCGAUCAGUCCAACCGUCUGAUCGAUCAACCAGUCAACCGGGUUAGGUCGCCGAUUGGUCACCGACCGACAAAUAGCCAAUGAGUGACGUCAUCAAUGAUGUUAGUGGGUCGGUUAUCGACCGUUGGUUAACUUCAUCAUGCAUUGGUUGGCCAUUGCUUGCGUGGCGCUCACGAGCUGCCGUUCCCAACGCAUGUGGCGCGUGGCGCUCACACGCCGCGGCUUCAGGCCUCGCAUGUGGGUGCGUCUGAUGGAAUGCCACUCGCCGUUUUGAUCAUCUCAACAAGUACUUUUAUCCUGUAUAUUCAAAAAUUAAUUUUGGCCAAAAAAUAUUCUGAAAAAAUGACCGAAACAUUAUAGUCAUUCACAACCUCCAAACCUAUUCUUCGCUUUGAUUCGUUUUCGACAAUUCAUGUUGGAAUGUUCAAGCAAUGAACAUCCAGACAAUAUGAAGUUCAUCCUUUUGAUCCCCAUAUCAAACAACAAGUGAUAAAAAAAAAAAAAAACGAUGGGAAAAUAAGGCAGAGAUCAUAAUACAGGCUCUGAUACCAAUUUUGGAAGAAAAGGCAGAAGAAACAACUAACUUCUUUGAUGCGCAAUAAACAAAUUAUCCAGGAGUGUAAGUUGAAUCACGAGCAAACGACGGACGAUAUGACUUUACGAUGGUCCGAAUACAAUCAUGAGGAAAGUAUUCACCUUCCACAGCGUUAAUGCCGAUUGGUUUCUUGAAAUAGAAAUGGAAUUGCCUUUUUGAUCUUUGAUGGAGAGAAGAGAAGAAGAAAGAAUAGUUUUUCUAAAUGUUCUUUCUACCAACAAUUCUAAUGGUUAUUCUUACCUUUUCACCAAAAAAAAAAAAAAAACAAUUCUAAUGGUUAUCUCCAUAAGUUAUUUGUAUAAUUUCUCUCACACCUUUUGAAAAAGUGUCUCUCCAUUAUAUCAAAACAAAUAGGUGCGUCUUAACUACACCUUAUUAUGAACGUACCAACAAAAUGUAAUACCUCUAGGUUUUGCCAGAAUGGGGGGUGCGGGUUAAAAUUAGUUGUGCCAUGUAUGAGUCUUAUCUAGAUCAUAAAACAAACCUCAAUUGAUUCAAAAACAGCCCUUCGCAUCAUUAAGUGGAACAUGUACGAUAAUAGGUGCAUAAUAGACCAAGCUAGCUAAUUGCCGAUAGAUCUCAUAAUAAAUUAGCAGAUAUUUCAAAGGAAAAUGCAUUCAGGCUAUAGACCAAAAGUGUAGGAACUCAGAGAAAAUCUCACGGAGUGAUGCGGUAACCUAAUAGUUGAUUUUUUUGAUAGAUUUACUGGCUGAACUUGUCGAAAAAAGAAAUCUUACUCACAACUGGAAUAUGCAUAUCAGCAGUUUUUUCCGCUGGACUUAUUACUUUUUUUUUUUUUGGGUACAUCCAUGUACUAGAGAUUCUGCAUUGGCAGAUAGAAGAAGUGCUAUGCAGUAAUUUCAGAUUAUUGGGUGGAGUUAUGAAUCCAACGGUCCAUCCUCGAGGAUGGUAUGUAAUGGGUCUUGGAUGAAGAUACAGAGCAAUAUCCUUUUGUUCCUAUACACCUCUGACGCAACAACAAUUUUAGACGUAUUUUCUAUUGGUUACAUUUAAAAAAGUCAUGACACGUGUAUAUUCUAUUAGUAAAGACAUCAGUGCAAACUAAUACGUGAUAUACUUAAGUGCCAAAAAUUAGGAAAGUGAUAUUUAAAUGCCAUUUUUUUUUUAUAAAAAUGGGACACCUGAUUACCAAGUCCGGCGAAUCACGCCAGAAAUCCCAUGUGACAAUUUUUUAUUAAUAUUUUUGCCUACGUGAUUAGCCGGAGAAUUGACUCAGUAAAAAAACACCAAAAAGAUGUCGUUUUGGCGCGGAUUUAAAAUUUAAUAUGAAUAUUAAUUAAAUUAAAAUAUUAUUAUUUAUUAUUUUAAAAAAAAAGUAGGAGGAGGCGGAAGGUGAGAGAGCCCUCGCCACCGCCUCCCCGCCAUUGGGGGAAGGGUCGGCUAGGGUCCCCCACCUCAGCCCUUCCCGACAAUGGUGAGGAGGCAGUAAUGAGGGCACAACUCUCGCCUUCUGCCUCCUCCUCUUUUUUUUUUUAAAAUAUAAAUAUUAAUUAAACUAAAUUUAAUCCUCACUACCAGCAAUCUCCAUCUUCCUUUUUUUUUUUAUAUAAAAAAAUUAGUUUUAAAUUUAAUGUAAUUAAUAUUUAUAGUAAUUAUCUACUCAUGUUAGUAGCAAAAUGACAUCGGUUUACACUUACCUCGUUGGAAAAUUGUUACGUCAGUAUUUUGAUCGGAUUUUCUUACCGUUGACGCUUAAUCGAUCUAUUUUGCUCCGAUUUUGACACUUAAAUAUAAUUUUCUUAAUUUUUGACAGUGAAGUGUCGCUCGUGUCAUUUCCACACUUCGGGGGUCAAGGUGCCGUUUCUACUACAUUUAGCAUUUCAAGAUAUGCAGACAUUAGUAAAAAGAUUCAUAUACAUUAUUGCGUCUCGUUUGGAUUAAAUAAUAAGAACUUGGCGUCUCUUUGUUUUGCGAAAUUACAUUUCAUUAUUUUUCUCUCUCUCUAAUUACUGGUUCAAAAUUAAUGUGGAAUUUCAUUUUUAUCGUUUGGCGGGCAAUCAUUGCCGCCCACUAACUUUUGCUGCUACCACGAACGCACUACCAACCACGCAACCCCCCAUCCGCCGCCCCUCUGCCGCCUCAAAUGCACACCACCACCGCGGCGCAUGCCGCUAGCUCAACCACAGCACCAACCGCCCACCGCCACCNNNNNNNNNNNNNNNNNNNNNNNNNNNNNNNNNNNNNNNNNNNNNNNNNNNNNNNNNNNNNNNNNNNNNNNNNNNNNNNNNNNNNNNNNNNNNNNNNNNNUAAUGCAAAGAGAAGAAGUAAUUUCCAACAUAAACACUUCUGCAAAAGUUGCCGAGCAAGGGAGAUUAUUGCGUGGCUCUUUAGGAGUAGUACCAUGCGAAAACUAACUUUACAAUGUGAACACCUUGACUCCAAUGUAAAGUAUUGAGCCUUCUAUUAAUGGGGUCAAGGAAAGCUAAAGAUCGCUCGUCUUGAUUUGAUUGGUCACCCGGUCCUAUUGCAAAGAGAAAGUAACAAAAUAUCUUCAAAAGUCUAAAGUGAGAUAGUCUUGCUCGAAGGUGACUAUUAACUUUCUACGUCUUUUAUACAAACAUUGUAUAUAUAAAAUUAGAUUUGUACCAUUGAAAAUGAUAAGAUUUGUGUAAGUUUUAUGAGUCUUGCUAAAUCUAACGGUCUAAAUUCAAAUUAAGACGAGUGUAUAUUGAGUUAGCGGAGAGUGCGUUUGAUAAUAUUUUAUUCUUGAAAAUAAUUUAUGUUUAGAUAUAAUUUUUUUUCGUUUUUAUUUUUCUGGAACAAAUAAAUAGAUUUUUUUACUUUUUUCUAUUUAAAAUCUACUCCUUAAUUAUUUUUAUUUAAAUAAUAAAAUAAUUAAUUGAUAUUAUCAAAUGAAUUUUUAUUUUUUUUAUUUCAAUCAAUAGAAAAAUAUAAAAACAGGGCGAAUACUAAACAUGACCUGGAUAAUCACUAGAAAAAUGAGUACGGAAUGAGUCACAUGUCACAUGGACAUUGGUCAAAGGAACAGGCAAAGGAGAGAAGAACCUCACGCAGUUCUCGUGCCGCAUGAGUUGGCCUCCUCAUGUUGGGGUGUACCACACGUGAGCGUGACGGCCCACUAAAAAGGAGCCAUGCAAAAGCAAAUGAAAAAAUCAUUACUAUUUUCUCUUUUUUUAUUAACAUGAAUUACAUUUGAAUGUAAUUUAGACUCAUUAAAUUUGUAUGUAGUUAAAUUUUUUCGCUUUAAAUUCAUAGCAACCCAUUCUUUAAAUUUUUGCUAACUCAUAUACAAUCUAACUCACUAAAUAUGAGUCAAAUUGUAGAUUGUUUUUCAACCCAUUUCAACGCUAGCAAAAGACUUCCAUUUUCGCAGCAGAGAAAGCAAAAGGUUGCUAUCCUCACUUUGAUUUGCAAGGCUUGGUGGUCCAAUUACAAGAAGAUCCGACAAAAGGUGAGGGUUAAAGAAGCAGAUUGCCUCAUCAAAGACAUCCACAGCAAGAUUGUGUGUAUCCCAAGUAAGGGUAAGAAUCAAUCCAGGAUUAAACCAACUCAACUCUACCGGUCCUGAUCCAUUAAACCAACUCAACUCUACCGGUCCUGAUCCAUUAAACCAACUCAACUCUACCGGUCCUGAUCCAAUUCCUAAUAGGACUAAGUCAAUCUUUGGUUUUGGGAUCCUUGGAUUAAUAUUGUGUGGAUUGGUCCUCGAUCUUGGAAGUUUAUAAUUGAUCUAACUCAGACUAACCUUGAUUACAUAUAUUAUAUAUAAUAUGUAUAAUAUAUUAUUUAUAAUUUUUUUAUAUAGAGAAAAUCCUAACAGCAUUAAACGGCUUCUUAAUGAGGAGUCCAAGUAAUUUUACAUUGUUCUUUAAUAACUUAGACUUUUAAUAUCUUUUAUGGCAUCAACAGCCAUUAUUUAUAAAUGAGGAAAGUAUCUCAGUGAGGAGUCCAAAACGGCGUCCAAAACGGCGUAAAUAGCUCAUAACGUAUCCUCCUCCCAUAUUUGUUCUCUUAUGUUUUCUUUAUUCUCUUAGUCUUCAAUUUGUCAAGAUCGAAAGAAAUAACUUUCCUACUCAUCGCUCGACAUUCGCCUCACUCGCAUCACUCGAUGCUCGUCUCACUUGCAUCGCUUGCUACUCGAUGUGAGCAAGACACUCAUUGCUUACCCCACUUGACACUCGCAUCACUUGCCUCUCUUCGCUACCCUUACACAUAACUAAAUCCAUUAGGACGAUCCAAUUCUCGAUUGCCCCUUUUCAGAUGGUACAAAAAAUGAAACAAAAAAAAAUUAUCAGUUGGUCCCGAAUUGAUCAUAGAACUAGAUCAAAUUCAUUGGGUCUAUCCAAUUCUUAGUCCCAGGCUCAAUAUGGUCAGUCUUCGGUCCAAAAAAUUAAGAAUAGAUAUUGUGCGAGUUGAUUUUAGAAUUAGAGGGUGGACCGGUCUAAUUCAGAUUAUACUCACCCCUAAUCCCAAGCACAUCCGGCUCAUUUUUCAAGGCAAGAGAAGAUGUAAUUUCCAACAUGAAUAAAUUUGCAAAAGUUGCCAAGUAAAGUGGACGAUUGCAUGGCUCUUUAAGGGGUAGCACCAUGUGAAAACUAAUUUUCCAGUGUGAACACCUUGACUCCUACUUAAAGUAUCGAUUCUUUCGGUUAAUUGGGUCAGGGAAAGCUGAAGGUCACCCAUCUUCAUUUUGAUUUGACUAGUCAUGCGGUCUAAUUACAAAGAAAAAGUAACAAAAUAUCCUCGAAAGUCUUAGGUGAGGUUGUCUUGCUGUCACUAGCUUUCUACGCCUUUUACACAGUCAUGAUACAUGUGUAUGUGUGUGUAUAUAUAUUAUAUUAGAUUUGGAUCAUUGAAAAUGACAAGAUUUACGUUAGUUUUAUAUGAGUCUUGCUAAAUCUAACGGUUUAAAUUCAAAUUAAGAUGAGUGUAUCUUGGAUUCACUUAUUACGUUUGGUAAUAUUUCUAUUAUUGAUAAUAAUUUUUGUUUAGAAAUUAUAUUUUUUAUUUCUAUUUUCGGAAACAAAGAAAUAGAUUUAUUUUACUUGUUGUAUAUAUUUCAAAUUUAUUUACCGGUUACUUUUUUAUUCUAACAAAUACACAAAUUAACUGAUAUUAUUGAACAGAUUUUUUUUUUAAAUAUAUUUGAAAGAAUAAAAGAAUAAAAGAAAUGAUGAUUAUUAAAUAUGCCUUGAAUAAUCACUAGAAAAAUGAGUAGGAAAUGAAUGAAGCGUCACAUGGACAUUGGUCGAAGGAAUAGGUAGAGGAGAGAAAAAGCCCACGCAUUUGUCGUACCACGUGAGUUGGCCUCCACAUGAUGCUUGUACCACACUCAAGCAAGAGGCCCACUAAGGAGUAAUGUAAAAGUAAAUGGGAAAAUCAUUGCUAUUGUUUCUUUUUUGAUAUUACAUGUGAAUGCAGUUUAGACUCAUUGAAUUUGUAUGUAAUUAAAUAUUUUUUACUUUAAAUUCAUAAGUACCCGUUCUUUAAAUUUUUGCUAAGUCAUAUACAAUCUAACUCACUAAAUAUAAGUUAAAUUGUAGAUUUUUUUUACCCAUUUUAACGCCAGCAAAAGACUUCCAUUUCCCUGGGAAGGGAAGACAAAAGGUCACUCAUCCUCACUUUGAUUUGCACGGCGAGGUGGUCCGAUUACAUGGUGAUCCAACAAAAGGUGAGGGUUAAAGAAGUAAAUCGUCCCAUCAAAGACAUCCAUGGUAAGAUUGUGUGUAUCCCAAGCACAUCUGGCUCAUCUUUCAAGGCAAGAAAAGAAGUAAUUUCCAACAUUAACACUUUUGCAAAAGUUGCCAAGUAAAGUAGAUCAUUACGUGGUUUUUUAAGGAGUACCACCAUGUGAAAACUAAUUUUUUUAAUGUGAACACCUUGAAUCCAAUGUAAAGUAUGGAUUCUUUUGAUAAAUGGGGCCAGGGAAAGCCAGAGGUUGCUCAUCUUCAAUAUAUAUAUAUAUAUAUAUAUAUAUAUAUAUAUAUAUAAGUUAAAGAUUUGGGCUAUUAAAAUAAGUUAGAAAAAAGAUUUUUGAUUAAUUUUCAUGCCUCUUCGUUCCAAUGGGCAAGGAAAGUGAAAAGUUACCAAUCUUUACUUUGAUUUUUGCAGCCACGUGGUCCAAUUACAAGCUGAACUGACAAAAGGUGAGGGUUAAUUAGGUAAAUUCUUAGGGGUGUUAAUGGUUCGAUUCGUUUCGAAUUAACAAUAAGCAAGAAUUGAAUCAAAUUGAAUCGUGACUCAAAAUUAAAAACUUGAUUUGGUUUGAUUUGAUUUUUCAAUUUUCCUUUUUAUGUCUUGUUGCAUAAGGGUGAAAAAAUGAGAGAGAUUUUAAGUGGACGUUAAACUUUUAUUGGGAAUUUUGAUUUGACUUAAUUAAUCGAAUUAAAAUAAUCUAAAAAAUUAUUUUUUAUCAUUCGAAUCGAGAAUUGAACUAAAUCGAAAAUGCAUGAUUUGGGCUCGAGUCCGACAUCCUCACAAAUUACCCCACAAAAGACGCACAAUCCACGGCAAGAUUGCGUGUAUCCCGAGCAGGUCUGGCUCAACUUUUGAGGCGAGAGAAGAAGCAAAUUCCAAUUUAAACACCUUGCGGAAGUUUGCCAAGCAAAAGUGAUGAUCACGUUACGACAAGAAAGGAAAAAGGGCGACGAUCUUGUGGCUCUUGCGGAGAAGCAAUGAAAUUUUUUUUAAAGUCUACAGUGAGGUAGUCUUACCAAUUUCGAGGAAGGGAGGUUUGUUUCUGUGGUCUUGGUCAAAAAGGAGAGGGUAAAAAAGCAGUCCGAUUGCCUCGUAAAAAAAACAACGCGAUCCUCUCCCCAAGAUUGCGCGUCUCCUUUGGGGCAAGAGGUUCCAAGUAAAGCUUUAUUUAAAGUCCCGAGUGCUUGUACCCCAAGAGCAGAAACGCCAAUCACCAGAAAUCACUUGAGACGCUCUUUCGCUCUGAGAUAUCUGGCUUUGAUAGCUCUAGAUUAAGGCGUGGAGGUGGUCUCAGAAUUGUUCUGCUUUUGAGACUCGGACACGACUUGAUUGCUUGAAGGUAACUCCUUUUUAAACAUUAAAGCCCAUCCUAGUACUUCCGUCUUUACAUCACUCCUCCAGAUUAGCGGUGUACAAUGAAAACUGUCCGAACAGGGAACAGCCGGACCGGGUGAUUUCGGGGUCGGAACCGGACUGACUGGACCGANNNNNNNNNNNNNNNNNNNNNNNNNNNNNNNNNNNNNNNNNNNNNNNNNNNNNNNNNNNNNNNNNNNNNNNNNNNNNNNNNNNNNNNNNNNNNNNNNNNNNNNNNNNNNNNNNNNNNNNNNNNNNNNNNNNNNNNNNNNNNNNNNNNNNNNNNNNNNNNNNNNNNNNNNNNNNNNNNNNNNNNNNNNNNNNNNNNNNNNNNNNNNNNNNNNNNNNNNNNNNNNNNNNNNNNNNNNNNNNNNNNNNNNNNNNNNNNNNNNNNNNNNNNNNNNNNNNNNNNNNNNNNNNNNNNNNNNNNNNNNNNNNNNNNNNNNNNNNNNNNNNNNNNNNNNNNNNNNNNNNNNNNNNNNNNNNNNNNNNNNNNNNNNNNNNNNNNNNNNNNNNNNNNNNNNNNNNNNNNNNNNNNNNNNNNNNNNNNNNNNNNNNNNNNNNNNNNNNNNNNNNNNNNNNNNNNNNNNNNNNNNNNNNNNNNNNNNNNNNNNNNNNNNNNNNNNNNNNNNNNNNNNNNNNNNNNNNNNNNNNNNNNNNNNNNNNNNNNNNNNNNNNNNNNNNNNNNNNNNNNNNNNNNNNNNNNNNNNNNNNNNNNNNNNNNNNNNNNNNNNNNNNNNNNNNNNNNNNNNNNNNNNNNNNNNNNNNNNNNNNNNNNNNNNNNNNNNNNNNNNNNNNNNNNNNNNNNNNNNNNNNNNNNNNNNNNNNNNNNNNNNNNNNNNNNNNNNNNNNNNNNNNNNNNNNNNNNNNNNNNNNNNNUAUACAGUAGCCAUCAUAUUAACUUCCAUUUUUCCAAAUUUUGCAAUCCAAUUCAGCGGCAAUAGCCACAAGUCUCGCUUUGCCUUUUCCUCUCAAAACCGUAACCCCACCCCUCUUGUUUGCUCGACGCCUUGCCCCCAACGCCUCACCUCUUGCUCCGAUGCUCGGCUCUCUUCCUCCGAGUGCCUUGUUGCAACGUCCCACCUCACACCUCGCUCCCUUGGACGCUCAGCUCUCUUCCUCCUCCAAGCGCCUUGCCCUAACACCUCGCUUCACGCCUCGCUCUCUUUUUUGUUAAAUGAAAUGAAAACAAGUGAUAGUUUAUUGGAACCGGAUUGGACCGGUUGGUCCAGUCCGGUUCUUAGUUCCAAAAUUAGCAGAUCUGGUCCACGGUCUAGAAGAGUAGGAACCGGUCCUCCUGGUUUGGUUCCCGGUUCUUGGGUGGAAUCGGACCAAACCGGGAACCGAUCACCUUGACUCCAGAUGAGUCGGAUAGUCUAUUACAAUAUGAUAGAACAAAAUAAAAACAUUUGAUUAUUUGAUUAUUACUCAUUGCAUGACAUCUAACAUCCUUAAAAGCAUACACAAUAUAGCAUGUGAAAUUCCAUCGACUUUUCCAAAUCAUGGUCAUCACAUAUGUUGCAAAUUUUUCUUACUACAUUCGCCUUUAUUCAAACCAAUCAGUAUGAGCGGUUGGACUGGUUAAACCUGGUGGGAUUUAGUAGUUCUUCCUACAAUCUCUCUCUCUCUCUCUCUCUCUCUCUCUCUCUCUCUCUCUCAUAUUUCUAAUUCUCACUUUCUGUAUCUUUUAUGUCCGGUCUCUCUCUUGCAGAACAAUUCAAGGCUAACAUCUACAGUCCUCACUCGCUUUCUUUGUUCAUUUCCCUCUUCAAAGUUCUCGGCGAGGCUUGUUUAGGGUAUUCUCUCCCCGAUCUUCCACCUCUUUUCGUAUCUCAGCUCGUAGAAGGUAACCGUUUUUUCAUCUCUUAUUAGCGUGUCAUUUCUGUUGAUUUGUUGCGGCUGAACCAGUGUGUUUUGGGCUCUUUUUGUCUAACGUGGGGGGCUGCUGAUGUGGUGUGUCACCACCUCAUAAUCGACUUCCGUAGAAAAGAGAAGCCUUUGCUUUCGGCUUUAGAUGUGACUAGUCAUGUGGCCUCUCUAUCUCAUUGUUCGUUUGCAUCGUAAUUCAGUGUCGGUCCUUUGUUAAGCUAGAAUGAGUUGGAAUGCGAGCGCGCUAGAUUCUAUUGCGCUCAAAAUUGCCUGUAUUCGCCUCAAGCCAAGGACCGUAUGGAUCGUGAGGUUUCUUUGUCUCUGAAGGUCUAAGAUCAAUUAAAUAAAAAAUGAAAUAGAAAAGAAAAAGUAGUAGGCCGGUUCGCGGCAAGUUCCAAGAUCAAGGGGGUUCGAUUUUCAAUUCCGAAAAUUGAGAACAUGCUCUAAUAGGUGGGUUUUAGGGUUUUGGUCCAUAAUCUACACACUCUGUAGCCAAUCACCCAUAAAAGCUAGUACUCUCUUAAUCAGAUUUUAUUCACAAUUUUGCCUUAGACAAUUAUAGGACAUUCUAGACAAAUAAUAUGUUGUCUUCCUCGAAUUAUUGGAUUGUAUAAUCCUAAAAAGUACAUUGCCUUUCACCUCUAACUCAUUUUCUUCCUUCAAAGUUUUGAAAAUUGAUGAAGUUAGUUACCCCAAAAGAGGGUAAAAAGAGGUUGAAUUGAGUAAUGAAAAAGUAUAGUUAACACACGUAAGCGACAAUAGCUAUUAUGCGAAGGUCAGAGCAUUUUUAACUCUAUUGCCACUUUCUCAAAUGAAAAAUCUCCAUUGCUACUUUUUACCUGCUCUCAAAUCAGUGAUAGCCUCAGUCAUCAUCACAAUACAAGACAUGCCAAAAUCCAUGGUAUGAUGCUUCUUAAGAUCUUUUAUGUUAGAACUAAUUGAUCUUUGACAUAUACACAUGAAAACAUUUUUAAAAAAUUGAACUAUACAUGUUUAUUAGGACACUCACUUAGCUUUAUGUCUCUCAUAUCUUCCACCUUUUUGCCACAAACUAUAAGUUCAUUCCUUAAAAUGUAAUUAAUCAAUUUAAUCUGACUUAUCACGAAUUUAGCCUAUAAUCCUAUUCUACGUCCAUUUAAUUGGAUUAACAAAACUUUGCAAUGAUAUUCUCAAGGUGGGCCCUCGAGGAAAAAGGGGGCACGCACUGAAGGCCAUUCUUUUCAAACCUUGGUCCUCUCUGAAUUUUCCUCAGCAGUUACCCUUUAUCUCCUUCGAUCAAAUCACGACCUAAUUUCAAGUUUUUCAGACUAGGGCAAAGUCAGAGCAAGGCAAACAAAGGGACGCACCAUUCGCUUCAGGUCGUUCCUUUGCCAUGCCCGUUGCACUGAUUCUUUUCCCUAUGCUUGUAUUCUAUCGUCUCGAGAAGAAGAAUAUGAGUGCAGAAAAAGAGAGCACUGAAGGAGCAUUUGCUGCUUCUUUGGUGUCAUCUAACAAAUGAUAGUUCUAUUCUACAGAUAAAAUGUCGAUCAAUUAUUUAAAUUUCUUAAAGUUUGAAGAGAAUACCUCAGUGAUGUCUUAUCAGGUUAAAGUGGAUUUGUUUUGCAUUAAAUUGCUAAUACUUAAGGGCAGCGAGGAACAAAUAAAAGAGAAAUAGCAAAGACCUUUUGUUCAUCUCUAUCUCAUUUCCAAAUCCAUUUAGAAUAUGACAAUUUGAAAUUAAAAUGUAAGAUCACAUUUCUAAUCACUAACCAGGCCUUUUAUUCACAUCUUCCACACAUUUCCAAUUUCGUUUGAACUCACUUAUCAGCUUUUAAAUGAUUUAUCAAAUUCUGUUCUUUUAAUAAUCAAACAAAAACAGAACCUUUGCUUAUUUAUUUUAAUGAAUGCAACUUGCUUGUACACAGAUUCUAGGUUUUUAUAGCCCAAUUAAGAAUUUAAUAUCGUGGGCGGACCAAGCCAACAUCUUUUGACUUGACUAGAGGGUGAGAUACAAAAGAAGAUAAGGCAAGGACUAAAAGCACCUGCAACUGCUUCUGUUCAAUCAAUUACAAAUUUAAUUAAGGAUUUCGUGUUAAUCUGUUCUUGCUUGGUAAAAAUAUUUUGGUGGGGUCAAGACUUAUGGAUGAAUAUGUAUAUUUUUUUUUUGAAAUAAUUGUGUUUAAGCAUAAUUUCCGAGAGUUGGCUAGGGCAGGGCACCCUCAGCCCCUCAUUAAAUCCACCCAUAUUGUCAGACAUUUUGGAUGUGGCAGGAGAAGAACUAAACAAGGAGAAAACUCAGGAGGGAAUGGGGAAUAUGUACUGCUGAGAGAGUUGAUAACUUAAUCAGUGGAGGUUAGGGAAAUGAAGAAAAUAAGAAAAAUAGAAAAAAACCAUUAGUAAUGAGGGCUAGGAUACAGACAUGGAUUACCCAUUUAGCAAGAAUGGUUCCGAAGGUCUGCCAUUGCUAGGGGAGCUAACUCUCCGUUUUUUUUUUCUUUUUCUUUUUUCUUUUGGGGUCAAAAGCUUACUCUCAUUGAGAUUGCGUGAACGAUAAUGCUUAGAGAGAAAGAGUCUGUCUAUUUUGGCUCUUCACUUUUUCUAAUUUUUAAANNNNNNNNNNNNNNNNNNNNNNNNNNNNNNNNNNNNNNNNNNNNNNNNNNNNNNNNNNNNNNNNNNNNNNNNNNNNNNNNNNNNNNNNNNNNNNNNNNNNNNNNNNNNNNNNNNNNNNNNNNNNNNNNNNNNNNNNNNNNNNNNNNNNNNNNNNNNNNNNNNNNNNNNNNNNNNNNNNNNNNNNNNNNNNNNNNNNNNNNNNNNNNNNNNNNNNNNNNNNNNNNNNNNNNNNNNNNNNNNNNNNNNNNNNNNNNNNNNNNNNNNNNNNNNNNNNNNNNNNNNNNNNNNNNNNNNNNNNNNNNNNNNNNNNNNNNNNNNNNNNNNNNNNNNNNNNNNNNNNNNNNNNNNNNNNNNNNNNNNNNNNNNNNNNNNNNNNNNNNNNNNNNNNNNNNNNNNNNNNNNNNNNNNNNNNNNNNNNNNNNNNNNNNNNNNNNNNNNNNNNNNNNNNNNNNNNNNNNNNNNNNNNNNNNNNNNNNNNNNNNNNNNNNNNNNNNNNNNNNNNNNNNNNNNNNNNNNNNNNNNNNNNNNNNNNNNNNNNNNNNNNNNNNNNNNNNNNNNNNNNNNNNNNNNNNNNNNNNNNNNNNNNNNNNNNNNNNNNNNNNNNNNNNNNNNNNNNNNNNNNNNNNNNNNNNNNNNNNNNNNNNNNNNNNNNNNNNNNNNNNNNNNNNNNNNNNNNNNNNNNNNNNNNNNNNNNNNNNNNNNNNNNNNNNNNNNNNNNNNNNNNNNNNNNNNNNNNNNNNNNNNNNNNNNNNNNNNNNNNNNNNNNNNNNNNNNNNNNNNNNNNNNNNNNNNNNNNNNNNNNNNNNNNNNNNNNNNNNNNNNNNNNNNNNNNNNNNNNNNNNNNNNNNNNNNNNNNNNNNNNNNNNNNNNNNNNNNNNNNNNNNNNNNNNNNNNNNNNNNNNNNNNNNNNNNNNNNNNNNNNNNNNNNNNNNNNNNNNNNNNNNNNNNNNNNNNNNNNNNNNNNNNNNNNNUUUUUAUUGAUUACAAAGAUUUGAUAUUAGAUUUUAUGAAUAUUAGUAAUUAGCACUUUGAUGAAGGCAGAGAUCAACUAUAUGCAUGUGCUUUCAAAUAGAUGCUUACAUUAAACCACUGAUCAGAGGCUUGAUUGAAGCAAAUAUGGAAAAUUUCUUAGAGGACCUGAGUGCAUCUGGCUUAAUAAAUUCGAACCUUUAUUAUUAUUGAGUUUCAUGUGAAAACCACAUAAUAUAAGUGUUGAGAUUCAUUAGGGGCAUAUGCAUUUGAGAAUGCCUAAUGAAAUAUAGGCAUCAACAUGUUAGCUUUAGUUAAUUUUACAUGUGAGCAUCAUGUUUAAUUUGUAACCAAUCAAUAAGAGACACGAUUAAUGAAAAUCACCUUGAUUAGGAAGGUCCAUGCAUCUAGAGGAUCAAGUCCAUGGGAAAGAGAAGAUGUGCAUUACACUGCUCCAAAAAAACAACUUGUAAUAUUUGAUUAAUCAAUAGACACCCGCCUAAGAAAACCCAUUCAUUAAACAUUGUGUACUGGGAAUCGUUCAUAAAUCAUGUGCUUUCCAUCUA